rnacentral:lncRNA from 1 species
AGGAUCAUGUCUGCUCAACACCCAGAAGUUCCCGGGGAGCCGACGCCAACCAGAGUGAACAUCCUUGAGAGCGCCACAGCUACCGUUCAACCGUUUGGCCCCGUUAAGAAGAUCCAUCAGCACCUCUGCGCGUAAGCUAUAAUCUUUUCGUAUAUGUACUGUUUUAUGAAUUUCUUGAGUUCUUAGUACUAGCUUCUGAAUACUUCCUUCUGUACGUUUUAUCAUCAGAUUCCAUUUUUAUGGAGAUGACAUGACUCGCCAAGUAGAAUCCCACCACUACUGCGCGCACCAGAACGAGGAAAUGCGACAAUGUCUUAUAUACAACAAUUCUGAGCCGGACGCUCAUCUUAUUGGGGUGGAGUACAUCAUAUCUGAGGGCCUCUUUAUGACUCUGCCGGACGAGGAGAAGCCGUUGUGGCAUACCCAUGAGUUUGAGGUGAAGAGUGGGAUUUUAUUCAUGCCUGGAGUUCCUGGUCCGAUACAGAGGCAGGAUCAUGAGAAAGUUUGCAAGACUUACGGCAAAAGCAUCCACUUCUGGCAGGUUGACAAGGGUGACAAUCUCCCUCUUGGUAUACCUCAAGUGAUGAUGUCCUUCACUAGGGACGGCCAGCUUAAUGAGAACCUUGCUAGAGGUAAUCAACAAAAACUGAUAUUGCGUGUACACAUUGCUAAAUCUCGGAACUUGUAUUAAUAAUUGCAAAACAAAUAAGCAGAUGUGGAGAAUCGCUAUGGGAUAUCUUUCGAGAAGGAGAGGGAGAAGAGAGCCUACAUGAAAGGUCCUGAUCUCGGAAUACAUCCACUGGCCAAUGGUGCAGGAAAAGGGGUGAAGACUCUGCUGAGAGAGGUGGAUUGCAAGCCUAUAGAGUCUGUUCCAAGGGUGUUCGUGUGAGACUCAUCUAUAGAAAUAUGGUUCGUCCUGUGUAGAUGCAGGUGCAUAUACAGUAUGUUAUGAAAUAGUGCUUAUAUGGUAUAUAUUUUGGGUGCCUGCAACUUUCGUUAAUUAGUACAAGUAUCUCUCCAAAAGAGAGAAUAUCAGUAAGGUUUUGUGUGGUGGUAUAUAUAUCUAUAUGUUUAUCACAAUAGACAGACACUUAUUCAGGUGUUUUUAGUCGCAUGUUGUUUACAAGUUAUGCUCAGCUCUUUUUUUAGCAGUCAUGUAGUAAGUUCAGUAAAUGUGAGUUUUGGAUGAAUAAUAUUGCAUUUUUGGGGCAUAUUGUAUCUUCAGGAAUGGAAACCACUGGAAAAUAUUUCAGAAAUUUGUAGUUUCCAUUUCAGAAAUUCGUAGUUUUUUUAGGAUUGGCUAGGUACUAUAGAAGAUUCGUGAAAAUUUUUUAUAUUUUAGCAAAGCCAUUGACUAAUAUGUUAGAAGAAACAAGUGACUUUUUAGUAGAAUGAUAAAUGUCAAGCUAGUUUUGAGGAGUUGAAAAAUAGAUUGAUUACAACAACUAAACUUAUCUUACCUAUACAAGGAGGGGAAUAUAUUAGCUAUACAGAUGCUUCAUUUAAUGGUUUGGGUUGUGUAUUGAUGCAGAAUGGAAGGAUUAUUGCUUAUGCUUCUAGACAAUUCGGACUUCAUGAAUAAAAUUAUCUUACACAUGAUUUAGAAUUGGCUGUAAUUGUACAUGUUGUGAAAAUUUGGAGACAUUAUUUUUGUGGAGAGAUAUUUCGAAUAUUUACUGACCACAAAAGCUUAAAGUGCAUACCUACAUAGAAGGAAUUGAACCUUAGGCAACAAAGAUGGAUGAAGUUAUUGAAGGAUUAUGACUGUACUAUUGAUUAUCACCUAGGCAAAGCAAAUGUUGUGGCAGAUGCACUUAGUAGGAAGACUUUGGAAAGGAUUGCAUGUAUGAUUUCAUAUAAGAUUGAGAGCUAUGGAUAUGCAUUUUUCAAUAAAGAAUGGAGUAUUAUUGGCUACAAUGAAGGCUAGUCCCUAUAUAUUAAAUGAGAUCAAAUAGCACAAAGUAGUGAUGCAUACCUAAAGAAGUUAGAGAAGAAGGUGCAAGAUGAUAAGACAAGAGGAUUAGCGGAGCGAGAUAAUGGAAUAUGGGUUAUGAAAAAUAAGGUAUAUGUUCCUAAUGUGCUAGAAUUGAAACAAAAGAUUCUUUGGGAGGCUCACGAUUCUCCUUAUUCAAUGCACCCAGGGAGUACAAAAAUGUAUAACAAUUUGAAGCCACAUUACUGGUGGUCAGGCAUGAAGAGGGAAGUUGCAGAAUAUGUAGCUAAAUGCCUAACUUGUUAACAAGUGAAAGCAGAACAUCAAUCACCUGCAGGUAAAUUAUAAUCUUCAACUAUACUUGAGUGGAAAUAGAAAAGAACUACUACGGAUUUUGUUGUUGGUUUAUCUUGCACUUUUAAGAGAAAUGAUGCUAUUUAGGUAAUAGUUGAUAGGUUAAGAAAAUCAGGACACUUCUUUUACCUCUUCAACAAAAUGAUUAAUUGGAUAAGUUAGCUAACUUGUAUGUGAAAGAAAUUCUUAGGUUGCAUGGUGUACCUAUCUCUAUUAUUUCAGAUAGGGAUUCUCGAUUUACAUCUCAUUUUUAGAAGAGCUUACAAGUGGCAAUAAGAACUAAAUUGCAUUUUAGUACUGCUUUUCAUCCACAUACAGAUGGGCAAUCUGAGAGAACCAUUCAAACUUUUGAAGACAUGUUACGGGCUUGUGCAUUAGAGUAUAGCGAAAAGUGGGAUGAACAAGUACCACUUAUAGAAUUUGCUUACGAUAAUGGUUUUCAUUCUAGUAUUAGUAUGCCAUUAUAUGAGGCAUUAUAUGGGAGAAAAUAUAGAAGCCCUAUAUGUUGGAAUGUAGAAGGGUUGAGACAAUUGGAAGGUCUUGAAAUUGUUCAAGAAACAGUAGACAAGAUACAAGUUGUUGAGCAAUGUAUCAAGGCCAUAUAAGAUAGACAGAAAAGCUAUGCAGAUAAAUGCAGAAGGGAGAUUGAGUAUUGAAGUUGGGAAUAAAGUUUUCUUGAGAGUAUCACCAUGGAGGGGUAUCCUUCGAUUUGGUAAACAAGGUAAGUUAAGUCCUCGAGAUUUUAGAGAAGGUUGGUCCUUUAGCUUAUAAACUUGCAUUACCUUCAGAGUUAGCUCAAGUACAUAAUAUUUUUCAUGUUUUUAUGCUUUGACGAUAUUCAUUUGAUUCUAGCAAUAUUAUCGGGACACAAUUGAAGUUUCUGAGAAACUCACAUAUGUUGAAGAACCGAUUGAGAUAUUAGACCGACAGGUUAGAAAAUUAAGAAACAAGUCAACAUUCAUUUAAGGAAGCAACUUGGGAAGUAGAGAAGCAUAUGAUGGAUAAAUACCCAAACUUAUUUGGCAUGUAUGUUGGCGAGUAGUUAAUUUCGAGAACAAAAUUUUUUAAGUGGGAAGGAAUUGUCACAACCGAUUUUUUUUUAAUUAAUAAUUAGUAUUCUUUAGCAUGUCAUGAAACAUGUCAUUUGCAUCAUUAUUAUGUGUAGCACAUUUUAUUAUAUUAUGUUGUGAAAAAAUAACAAUAAAUUAUUAUUUAGUCAAAUAUUGAUAUUAGAAAUGGUUCUGGAUUAAAUUGUCAAGUUAGAAAUAAUAAGGAUUAAAUUAUAAAUUUUUCUUAAUAAUAAUAAUAAAAUAUUAGAUGAUAUUUAUAAGAAUUAGGUUUCACUUCUUCAUCCUUCCGUAGCCAAUUUCUCUUUUUCACAACUUCUUUUCUCCUAAUUUAAUCCAUUUUUUUACAAAAGAAUUCCACAAACUUGAAUUAGCAAUUAAGUAGUAGGUUGCUUCUUCUUAUGAGAUUGAAGGUUUGAGCUCUUCAUAACUAAAGAAAACAAAGGUGAGUCAAUUAAAUUCUUUUGUAUCUCUAUAAAAUUGAAUUGAUUGUUGAAGAAUAUCGGUGAUUUGGUGUUUAGGAAUUAUUAUAAUCGAAGUUGAACAUGUGAUUGUUGGUUAUCUUGAAGCUGAAUUUCUAGGCAAAAAUUGCAGCUCUGUUUUCAUAAUUUUAAAGGCUUAAUUUCAAAAAUCUUAAAAACAUGAAAGUUGUUGAUAUAUGUCUUAAGAUUAUGUCUGUAAAAUAGUUUUUACAAAACGUUGAGUGAGUAUGAACUUAUAAGGUUACAAAUUGCUACUGCUCUGUUUGUGGUUCAGCAGGUGACCUGGUUUUUAUGUUGAGGUUUUGGGGCAUUUAGAGGCUGAACUAGACAAAGUUAAACAUGAAAGUUGUUCAUUUAUGUGUCUGUGAAAAAUUUCAUAAUUUUUAGUUGAGUAUUCGUGAGAUAUAUUGAGCUGAAUAUGGCCUGCUCGAAAUUAUUUUAAGCAGAAAUCAGAUUUAGAAUUCAGAAAUUUGCUACUACUUGUGUGUGUCGCAACUUGAGGUAGAGAAGUCCAAAUUAAGUAAAAUUAGUGUCUAUGGAAACUUUAGGAUGUUAACUUUAUGUCUGCAGAGUUUUACUGUUCUGUUUAAAUGGAAAUUGGAGCAGCAGUAUUGAAAUUGCCAGAACUAUUUUUAUACAAAUGAUUUUGAAGUGAUUCUUUUUGAUACGGUUUCUAUAAAAAUGGAAGUUUAAUUCUGAAAAAGAUAGGAUUUUACUAAUUAUACAUAAUUUUUGGUGUAAUUUCUAAGUCAGUAUCUACAAGCUGUCUACAUAAAAAAAUAUGUUGAUUUAUUGUCAUUCAUCUCAUGCAUCAUAUUAAAAUCAAGAAUAGAUGUUAUUUUGUUGAAAUGUGAUGUUUUAUGGAUAUUAAAGAUAUGUAUAUUUAUGCCUUGUGAUUGAAUUGUAUUUGUAUUGAAUAUGUGAAUAGGUUUGUCCAAAGGCAAGGAAGUGGUAAGAGAAAAAUAAUAGGAUUACUUUGUUAUCCUAUAAAUUUUGGUAAGUAUUUAAUAUACUAAACUUUAUGUAUGUUGAGUAAGAAUUGCUAUGUUUGAUUACUUGAUAAUCUCUUGGUUGACUGAGUUGGUAUUGAUUAUGUUCUUGGCUCGUUGUGAGUUGAUGAAUAAGUUGAUAUUGGUGAGAUUGAAUUUGAUGAUAUUUAUGAAUUGUGAAUUGAUUGUGAUUGAUUGUGAUUGAUGAUUAAUGACUGUUGAACUGAUAUUGUGUAAUCGGGAAAGCUGAGCCUAACGGACAGCUACCCGAGUAUGUGAGAUGGCAAGACUAAGCCGGGCGGAUAGUCUUGUCAAAUGGCCACUAAAAUGUGAAAAAUAUGAGGAAAUGUGAGGAUGAGUCAUCUGAUCCUAAUUUGAUGGAAAUAAUGUGGAAUUGAAUUAUUUGACUUGAUUGAGUUUGAGAUUAUUUGUAAUUAUGUGAGAUAAAAUUAUUUAUUUAUGAGAAUAAUUGAAAUGGUUGAUAUUGUGAUUGUCAGUAAAGUGUUUAUGUAAUUUUUUGUGUUUGAUAAAGACUUGAUAGUUUCUGCCUAGUAUACUAUAGUUUAGUAAAUUAAAUGCUUAUUGAGUCGCCAGCUCAUUUCUUGGCAAUUUUUCCAGGUUAGUGCAGUUGUAGAUAGCCUUAGCUAUGCAUUGCUCUCUUUGAAUUAGUGAACAUUAUCGGGUGGGCCAGAGGAGUUAUCUCAAGCAUUGGGCAUUUUUGGUACUUGAGUGAAUUAAACUAAUGUAUAAGUAUUCAUUAUGUAUAUUNNNAUUAUGUUUAUAAAGUUAAUUGUAUAUAUUGCUAUGCAAUUGCUGUACAAUUUAAGUGGCAUAACACACUUAAUAUACAUAAGGAAUACUUAUACAUUAGUUUAAUUCACUCAAGUACCCAAAAUGCCUCCAUACUUGAGAUAACUCCUCUGGUCCACCCAAUAAUGUUGACUGAUGUAAAGAGAGCAACGCACAAUUAAGGCUAUCUACAACUGCACUAACUUGGAAAAAUUGCCAAGAAAUGAGCUGGCGACUCAAUAAGUAUACUAAGUAGAAACUAUCAAGUCUUUAUCAAAUAUAGAAAAUUAUACAAAUACUUUACUGACAAUCACAAAAUCAACCAUUUCAAUUAUUCUCAUAAACAAAUAAUUUCAUCUCACAGAAUCACAAAUAAUCUCAAACUCAAUCAAGUCAAAUAAUUCAAUUCCAUAAUUAUUUCCAUCAAAUUAGGAUCAGAUGACUCAUUCUCACAUUUUCUUAUAUUUUUUACAUUUCAGUGGCCACUUGACAAGACUAUUUGUCCGGCUCAGUCUUGCCAUCUCACAUACUCGAGUAGUUAUCCGCCCGGCUCAGUUUCUCGAUCACACAAUAUCAAUUUAAGAGUCAUCAAUCCUUAAUCGCAAUCAAUUCACUUCACAACACACCACAAUCAAUUCACAAUUCACAAAUUUCAUGAAAUUCAAUCUCACCAAUAUCAACUUGUUCAUCAACUCACAACGAGCCAGGAACAUAACCAAUACCAACUCAGUCAACCAAGACAUUAUCAAGUAAUCAAACAUAGCAAUUCCUACUCAAUAAACACAAAGUUUAGUCUAUUAAAUACUUACCAAAAUUUAUAGGAUAACAAAGUAAUCCUAUUUCUUUUCUCUUACCACUUCCUUGCUUUUGGACGAACCUAUUCAUAUAUUCAAUAUAAAUAUAAUUCAAUCACAAUGCAUAAAUAUAUAUAUCUUUAAUAUCCAUAAAAUAUCACAUUUCAACAAAAUAACAUCUACUCUUGAUUUUAAUAUGAUGCAUGAGAUGAGUGACAAUAAAUCAACAUAUUUGUUGAUGUAGACAACUUGUAGGUAUUGACUUAGAAAUUACACUAAAAAUUAUGUACAAUUAAUAAAAAUUCCAUCCUUUUCAUAAUUAAACUUCCAUUUAUAAAUUAGGAGUAGAGAAGUUGUGAAGGAGAGAAACUGGCUACGGGAGGAUGAAGAAGUGAAACCUAAUUCUUAUAAAUAUUAUCUAAUAUUUUAUUAUUAUUUUAAAGAAAAAUUGAUAAUUUAAUCCUUAUUCUUUCUAAUUUGACAAUUUAAUCCAAAACCAUUUCUAAUAUCAAUAUUUGAGUAAAUGACAAUUUAUUAUUUUUUUUUACCACAUAAUAUAAUUAAAUGUGCUACACAUAAUAAUAAUGCAAAUGACAUGUUUAAUAACAUGCUAAUGAAUAUUAAUUAUUAGUUCAUCCUAUUUUCAUGUUUUCAUUACUUGUAUGUAUUUUGGUUUUGUUUAAUUUUUUUACUUCCUUUAUUUCAUAUUUUUUUAGUAUUAAUUAUAUUUUAUGUCUUCUAUGCAUGUGAUUUGAAUUCUAGGUGUUAGAAGAUCGAAAAACUAUGCAAAAAUGAACUUGAGAAGUGCAAAGCUGACCGACUCAGUGCUAAGCUGACCGGUUGUGAGUGGUGGCUUCGGGCGUGUCCCCAAGUGUCUCUAGCGACUACCGCAGUGCAAGGUUUUUCAACAUAAUCGAAAAACAUACUAACUAGUCACAUAGACUAGCGUAGAGAUGGAGUUGCCAUUCGGAUAAUUCUCUGGGACACUUUUACUAAUUUGAGUGACGUACUAGAUUCCAUAAGGAGAAUGCCACAUCUUAUAGAUGGAUCUGGAAGUCAACUUCUUUAUUUGUGUAUCUUAGUCUUUAAUUUUAUUAUUUAACAAGCUCUUCCUUAUAAAUAAAACUGUUUAUAUUUACAAGCAUCCAUUCGGCAUGUGAGGUCCUCUCUAGCCCAUUUUAUCUAUUUUACUAAUUAAUUUUAUGCAGAGUUUUAGAUAGUUUACCCCAAUUACCAAUUAUGCUUUAAUUUCAGCCUUUAAGCUUAAAUGGACUACUUCUUAUGCAAAGGCCCAAUAUGUGAUCUUAGAUUUAAUAUGACCCAAUUAAUUAAUUAAAGUAUGGCAAAGUCCACUAGAUCUAUAUUGAUUUUAGAUUUAGCCCAAUUACCAUCUGAUUAAUCUAAUGUACUACAAUUUUCAUGUUUGGUUCAAUUUUUUACCUAGGAUCUACGUGUCAGAAUUUUAAUUAGGUAAUCAUAUUACAGUUAUUUGGCAUAUAUCAAGUAUAAAGCAAAAAUAAAAGUUCAGAAAAUUAAAUCUAGCUAUUAUAACAUUUCCUACAACUAAAGAAUGAAAGAAAAACUCCUAAAAACUAAGUAUAAUACAUAAAAUCACCAAAAAUAGAUUAAAAACUCAAAAAUCAGGCCAAAAAUUUGUGGAGCCAAUUGGUCCAAGAGCCGAUCGGAUCAAUGAAGAGCCGAAUUGUCUUUACAUUGAGCCAAUUGGCUCUAGCGGCUUGGAUGGUCUUUCUGCGACUUUCUUCAAUUUUUCACGCUUGAAAGCCGAUUUUUACAUGCACAAAGGAUAGAAAACUUGAUUGAAACAUAUAAAAUUGAAUAAAAAACAUAAAAAAUGAAAUUAAGCAAUGAAAGCCCUAAGAAAACAUACAAGCUCUAGAAAUCAAGAAUGACAACAAGUAAAAAAAAAAUAAUUUAAAGUAGAUUCUCAAUUUUAAUCAUGCAAUCCUAAAAAUCUAAUUCAAAUAAUUACAAAUUAAUUAAUUAUCUUUUCCUAAUCCUUAAACUAACCAGAUUCAAGUUUCAAUCAAACCACAUUAUCAUAUUCAAAAAUCCUAUAUAUUAUUAUUAUUAUUAUAUUCAAAAUCUAAAAAGUCAUAGCAUGUUAAUUCAUAAUAUUCUAACCACAUAGAUCAUAUAAAAUAACAAUAAAAAAUUCUAAACAUGUUUCUAGAUUCAUAAAUAAAUAUAAAAGAAUCAAUAAGACAAAAGGUGUUGAUGAUGUGGAUGUAGGGGAACCCUCAAGUUGUCACCGUUGGUUGUUGUUCUGCGAGUCUCAAGAGAUGAAGAGGUAAUUGUGUCGAAGAUAGUUUAGGAAUCCAAUGCGACUUGAGAUUUCAAAAAACGUUACUCGUGUUCUAAGAAAAAAAUUUCCUGAUCUAGGGUUUUUUCGUUAGUGACUUCUAAAGAAACUCUCUGUAGGGUUUUCUCUCAAAAGUCUUCGUCUUUGACAGAAAAUUCUAAUGAUGAAUAAGAAUUCCUAACUAAUGAGAGUUGCUAAUUAAUGAAUGUUGAUAACCCUAGAUAUAGAGAAUAUUAUUUUAUUUAUAGAGCUAAAGUUUGGAAUCUCUAAAAAUCAGAAUUAUAAAUCUUAGUUGUUUCAAAGAUUUUCUCUUUACCGGUCAAUAAUAUCCAAUAAAUUUUUUUUAAAAUUUCAAUAAUUAUUUUAAAACUUUCUAGAAACUUAUUUUUAUAUUUUUAGGCGUUUUAAUAUAAAAGAUACACAUAAAACUAUGUCGAAUUGCCAAAAAUGGCCAAUCGGCACUGUGUAAAGCUAAUUCGACUGUAUGCAGAGCCAAUUGAUUCUAAGGGCUAAAAAGUUUGGAAAACUAUGGCAAUUUAAUCCUUAAACUUGCUGAAACAACCAUUUUACCCCUUAAAGUUAACUUUUUCUGACAAUUAAAUCUAAAUUGAUUCUAGAAAAAUAAUUUUAAUUUAAUUAUUGUCAGUCCUAAUUGAUUUAGGACCACGCCCCAUUGAUUUGGGAACCAUUCCCAUUGAUUUAGGACCACGCCCCUCAAUUUUACCUUUGUAGAGAUUCCCCUCUAGCUAUUUUCCACUUUGAGAUACAAUUAUGUUGUAAUUGUUGUCUCGGGUCAAUCUGGUAAAUUCUCCUACUUUCGGGUACUUUUGGUUGAAAAUUCCCACUUCUAGGUGCAAUUUGACUAAAUUGAUGUAUUUUGAAAGUUAUAUUUGUAAUUGGCUCACUUGGGGAGUAAAAUGUAAUUUGAUAGUCUAUGAUCAAAAUGGUUAUUUUUCAAAAAUUCCCACCUUGGGAUACAAAUUGACCUUUGAGAUGUCUUCUGGAGACUUGUAUUGAUAACCGGCCUAUUCAGAAACUAAAGUGUAAUUUUGAUAAGUCAAGGACCAAAAUGGCAUUUUUACCUUCUUUAGUAUAUAUAUAUAUAUAUAAUUUCACCCAUUCAUUUUUCAUUUUAUCCAUUUCCUUUUUACUUUUUUCUCAAAUUUCUUUUUAUUCUUUCUUCGAUUUCUUUCUCAUUUCUUAACCAAGUUCUACAAAAUCAGUCUUCAAAUGGCGGCCUCAUCUUUUAGAUUCUCAAGACGCACUCUAAUCAUACCAAAUUGGGAGUUUUAUCCGCUAGAAUGACCUUAGGCUUGUCAAAGGGGAGGAAAUCCUUCUCUUGGCAAAAUUGAACACUCACCGGAUGUUUUCGACCAUUAGAAAAGUAUUUUUCUUGCAUUAAAUUUAUUUUCUGUGACUUAUACACUAGAUAUACGCGUUAUUUACUCAAAACACGUGAAAUUUUGCAAAGAACUCAAGAAAAAAAUCUCGCCCUAACCCAUACAGCUGAUCGACUCUGUGUAGAGCCAAUUUGACUAUGCGCACAGUCGAUCGGCCCUGCACAGUCUGAAAUGACCGUGCACAGGCCGAAAACCAGUUUUUAACAUAAAUUAACAAUAAAUAAACAACAUACUUACUUGUUUGGAGCCUUUAUUUAUGUGCAUUGUUUUCACAUACCUUUAUUCGUGCUUUUUCAAAGUGAUGAUGUAUCGAUCUGGGUCACUGGAAACUUCUAUGGUGCUCGUGAGUGAUUCGACAAGCUACUGAUAUUUGUUCAGGCCCGGAUCAGUGAUACUGCAUUCCGCCUAUUUUUUACUACACUUUCAUUAUUCACCGGGAGGAUAGAUCGCACUUCGAUAUAUGCCCUACUGGAGAGGUGGAUGGACACCACCCGCACCAUCCACACUCCGGCUAGUAAGCUGACUCUUUCCCCACUUUCAUUUGCUGCUAUUAUAGGGAUAGAUUUCAUAGGUAUGCCUAUACCUUUUGAUGGUGCAAUUCACAAUUAAUAUUAUAAUGUCAAGGAGUGUUAUAUCACGGACUUACUGGGGUUCUUGCUGGUGUGCAAGAACACACGGUGCUUAGCUUAUUAGAGCAUUCCUCUCCACUAUAGGGGCUUCGUUCCCAGAAUGCACGGGAGGUGGAUCAGAUGGCUCGAGCCUUCUUGGUUUACCUCUUUGGGACUACCCUGUUUAAUGAUUCAGGGAAUCCAUUCUAAUUUCCAUUACUUGGCCCUUUUAUGAAAUUUGGACUAGGUCUCCUCUUUUAAUUGAGGAUCUACAGCUCUUGCCUACCUAUACCACUAGAUGGACAUUACAAUAUGGGGAAGCAAGAGGAUUUACGGCUUCUAGCAUGCAAUUCAUGUAAGUUCUAUCCAUUUUGAUUUCUUUAUUUUAUGCUUUCUUAUAUUUUUCUAGAAGCUAAUGACUCUUGUUUUACAAGUUUGGGCCUUGGAGCAUGGCCUUUUGGUAGGCUCACAACCUAUCAGUACUUCUUGAGCCUUCCCAUGCUUGAGCCAUUGGGGCUCGAGCAUAAAUGUCCUUUUAGAGUGGGCAUAGGUCCAUGUACACCAUAUGUGGAUCAACUCUUUAACUUAGGAUAAGGUAAAAGAAGAUUUAUUAGUUACAUGUGUGUAAAUCUUAGUUACUUACCUUUGUAAUUUCACAGGUUUAUAGUGAAUAGCUAGACGAGUGUUGUCACUAGGACCCCUACCUGCUUUCUACCGUAGACCUCGAUCAUAAGAGAGUUCUCCUGGUUGGUCUCGCUUGUCGGGCUUGGUUCUUGGGUGAGAGGAUACAUGGUUUGGAAAGAGGGCCUAACAAGCAUCGAGUUCUGUUAUCUCCCUCUCUUUCUAUGUUUUGGGCCGCUAAUCUUGUCGAUGAGGAGCUGACCAAGAGCUUGGAAGGACUCGAUGGCUUCGAGGACCUCACCAUUCGGUCCCGAAGGACUGACUACACCUCCUUUAUCCCUCAAUUACUCAAGCCCGUGCCUCUUAGCAAUGACAUCAUGGCUCCAGUUUGUUCUUGACUUUGCUUGACUUUUCAUUUUCUUUACCUCACUUGAUUACUCAUUUGGUUGUCAUGCCAUAGUUCAUUCACCCUAUGCCCUCAGCUCUUAAGCGGCAGAGGGACGGUCUACUCGCCGCUCUAGAUGUGGUGCCUAGGCGUAUUACAUUUCUCCCGGAUCCGGUGGUCUCAUACUGGAGUCCUACUAGUGCCAUAGAAUAUUGGCCUAAUAUAGAGCACUGCCUCCCACCGGAGUUUACUUCGAGCAUUUGCACGUACGUAAGUUGUAUUCCCUUUUGAUACUUCACAUCUUUUCUUUCCUAAAAUGUUAGUAACAUAUACACAUAAUCACAUAGGUCCAAAAAGAUCUGUUCGAGCACGUACAUCGGUUGGUCGGUGCUGCGAGGAGGUAGGACUUUGUCCUCGGUGAGGGUUAGUGGGUAAGAAUCAAAAUCAAUUAUAAAAUGAAAAAUGUAUGCAUGUAUGCAUGAAUGAAAUAUACUAACUAAUCUCCUUUUGGAUUUUCUUCAAAGGGAUUACGAGAGUAUGCAAGGGUAGGUAGAUGAUUAAUAGCGCCAGAUCGAGGCCCAACAGCAUAUACAUGAUUCACAACUCUAAAGUUAGAAAAAACAUUACUCAUAAAAAGUGCCAAAGCCCUCCAAACUCUUCUCGAAACCUUGACUGGUGAUGAAUGGAUUAAGAUUUGGAAAAUUUCACCUUCCCUUCUUCAAAGUUAUGUAACAUACUAAGCUUGAUUAUGGGUUUCUUCACUCUACCGUCAACUUUUGGUGCUAAAAGACCAUGGCUUCUGAUUCAAUGGCAAAAGCUCCCAUGAUUGAAGAAUUCUCUGCCAUUCUUGGAGGUCCUAGGGAUUCUACUCAUCUAAUUGCUUUAAUAAGGCUUGAUGAUUCUUUUCUUGGAAAAUUGAUAGAGCUAUUCACAUGCCCCUUGCUAAGGUACUUUCUCAUUAUAUUGGUGAAUACAUUACUCUCACUUUCUUAAUUUCCUACUAUGAAAAGAAGGCAAGGGGUACACCUACUUAGGUUAGGAUGCUACCCUUCAGGACCAUAUGAUGAUUGGAUUUCUUAGAUCAAAGGAAUUUUAAACACACUUAUUCGCUGGACUUGCCCAUGGUGGAGAAUCAAGCAUGUUCCACAUGGUGUACAACGACUGCAUGCCUUUAUCUAGACUGCAGGCAUCUGCCUUCUAUACACCUACAAGACUUUAACGUUAAUAGGGGUGAAAGCAACAGAUCUGGAAUUUCCUUCCGAAUUCAAAGACUUCCCAUUGAGACAAGAUUUCCUAGAUAAGAUGGAAAGACUCUGGCCCUGUAGAGAUAUAGAGCACAAUCUUGACUUCGAGGGCGAUCUUACCAUGGAUGACAACUUCAAAGUCGAGUUUUAGAUUACCACUUAUCCUAGAUUGGCAAGAUUCAAGAGAACUUGAGAGGUAGCUAUUAGUUCUAGGAAUGCAAAUGCAAAUGCAAAGAGAAGGAGAAGAUGAAAAUAUACUUCUUUUUUAGAUCUCAAUUAUUUUGUUUAGAACUUUAGCUUAGUUUUUCUUUUAAUUAAUGCGUAAAGUAAUAAAUAGACAUAUGUAUGUUUUAUAAAAAUUCUAACCAAUUCAAUUAUUUAGUAAAGGUACAAAUGGAUAUAUUUUGAUUUCUCAUGAUGCAACUCCUGUCAUCAGCUAGUCUUUUCAGAUUCUCUAGCUGAUUAUUUUCUCUCAUUUUCUUGGUUUUUGCCUGACUAGCCUUUUUAUUUUUUUUGAUCAACAGACUAUUUUUUCUAUUACUAUAAUUUUAUACAUAGUAUUUGUUGAGACGAUCCAGGUUAAUUGGCUCAGAGAACUUAUUCCUUUCCAAGUCUGAGAUCUUAGCGACAUCCUCGGGGUAGAAUUUUCUUUACUAAGUAUGGGCUUUCCUAAUUAGGCAUGAAUUUUCCUCUUGGGUCGAACACGGUAGGUCUAGUGUGUUUCAACACCAAGUCACCGGUUUUGAUUUUUCCUGGCUUUACUUUCUUGUUGAACAUUCUAGCUGUUCACUUUUGGUACAAUAGCAUGUGAUAAAGGACUUUCAUCCUCCUUUCAUCGAUCAAAACCAAUUGUUGAUACCUCUGCUCAACCCAUUAAUACUCUGGUAUUUCAGUCUCUAACACAACUCUCAAAGAUUUCAACUCCAACUCAACUGGUAAGACCGCUUCAGUCUUAUAAAUCAAAGAGUAUGGAAUCUGUUUUAUCGACAUCCACUUAAUUGUUUGAUAUUCCCAAAGUGCAAAAGGUAAUCAAAAUGACCAAUCUUUGUGAUUCUACACCAUCUUCGAGAAUAUUAAGUUCUUGUUGGUUGCUUCCACCGCUCCAUUUGAGGUUUAUAUGGAGAAGAUUUGUAAUGCUCAAUCUUGUACUCUGCCAAUAAAUCUACAGUUUCACCCAUGAACUACACGCCGCUGUAUGUCACAACAUGAUGUGGGACCCCAUACUUGCAUAUCAGGUUCCUCUCUAUAAACCUAGCCAUCUGUCUUGUCCCACAGUAGUGAAUGACUCAGCCUCGAGCCACUUGGAAAAGUAAUCAAUGGCCAUGACUAUGUACCUAUGACCAUUCGAAUGAGGUUUUAUCUCUUCGAUGAUGUCAAUUCUCUAAGCUACAAAAGGCCAUAAGAUGUCAAAUUCUGAAGCUCAGUCGAAGGUAUGUGACUCAAAUCACUGUAAAGUUAGCACUCACACAUUUCCUUACUAGAGUUAUACAAUCAUUUUCCAUCAUUAACUAAUAAUAACCUUGAUGCAUAACCUUUGUAGUCAACACUAGUCGUUCAUAUGAAUCCCGCAUACCACUUUAUGCAUCUCCUCCAUUACAACCUGCGCCUUCGCCUUAGUAACACAUCGAAGCUGGACAUCUGAAGUCAUUCUUCUGUACAAUACUCCUUCAUGGCUGAGGUAGUUUCUGGCCUAUAUUUUUAGCGCAUACCUUUCCUUCGCAGUUGCUUCCUCAGGAUAUAUCUAUCUUCUACAAAUCUUUUCAGAUCGUAAAAUUAAGGCUUCUCUUUUGGUCCUAUUUGGACUUGCAUUAUAUGGUCUCCCUUAUAACAAGGUGCUCCUGACUUCAUAAUUACUAAUGGUUUCAUUAGAAGUUGCAAGGGAUUGUCCCACAUCGACGAUAGAGUAACCAGUGCAUUUGCCAUUUGGUAAUUGCCAUAUGUCUUGAACUUUUCUUCUUUCACUUCCCACUCUUCGAGGGCUUGUUGAAUCACUAGCAUGGAAUCCCCAUAGACCAUCAGCUACUUUGCUCUUGCUACCACGACCGCCUCUAAUAUAAAUAAACAUGCUUCAUACUCCACCAUGUUAUUUGUUACUUUAAAGUCCAAUCUCUUGGCCAUUGGCAUCAUUUCUUCUUCUCGCAUGAUCAGAACUACUCCCAAUCCCACACCUCUUGCAUUCACAGCUCCAUUGAAGUACACCUUCCAUUCUUAAAUCUCAAUUGCCCUUAGAGUUUUAGCAGAAAACUCUAGAUCCUAAAGGUCGUCUCCUUUGAUUGCAUUAUGGGCUAAGAAUUUUGCUAUUGCCCUACCCUUGACUACUUUCUUGGUGAUGUACUCGAUGUCGAAUUUCGUUAGAAGCACUAACCAUCUAGACAACUUCCCUGUAAGAGACAAAGCUUGGAAUAUAUAUUUCAGCAGGUCUAUUUUUGAAAUUACUUGCAUCCUAUAAGACUAGAAAUAGUGUCUUAACUUCCUCAUAACCCAUAUCAUGGCUAAACACGUCUUCUCUACGAGGUUAUACUUUGACUCAUAAGGCAACAACUUUUUACUGAGAUAAUAGAGUGCAUGCUCCAUGUUAUUAGGCCCAUACUGCACUACUAAUGCCUCCAUGGCUUUCUCUUCCAAGGCCAAGGCCAAGUACAACAUCAACGGUUUUCCAUCUUUCGGUGGCUUUAGUAUUGGUGGUUUCAUCAAAUACUCUUUAAUCUUGUCGAAGGCUUUCUGACAAUGCUCAUCCCACACAACAGGUUAGUGUUUCAUUAAAAGAUUAAAUAUGGGAUGACAAACCAUUGUGAGCUAGGAAAUGAACCUACUUAUGUAUUGUAAAUGUCCCAGAAAUCCUUUGACUUCUUUCUUUAUCUUCGGCGUUGGCAUCUCUUGAAUAGCCUUUACCUUGUCCAGUUCAAUCUCUAUUUCUUGCUGACUCACUAUGUGCCCUAGCAGCUUCUCUACUGUUACUCCAAAUACACUUUUCUUCGAAUUAAGCCUUAAGUUAUCAAGAGCCUAGAAGUAUCCAUCCCUUGUUUCAGACUUUAACAUCAUAUCAUCUACAUAUACCUCCACUUUCAUGUGCCUCAUGUCAUGAAACAAGGUAGUGGCUGCUCUCUGUUAAGUUGCCCCUGCAUUCUUUAGUCCAAAAGGCAUAGCUUUGUAGCAAUGCAUAUCUCAUUCGGUAAUGAAUGACGUCUUCAACUUGUCCAGUACUACCAUCAUGAUCUAGUUGUACCUAGACAAAUUAUUGGUGAAAAUGUACAUCACAGUUGAAGCGGCACUAUUGACUAUCACAUCUAUAUAAGGAAGGGGAAAAUCAUCCUUAGGUUAUGCCUUGUUUAGGUCCUAAUAGUCCACCGCACAUUCUUACUUUUCCAUCUUUCUUCAGGACUAGGACGAUAUUUGCCAACCAUUUCGAAUAGUCUACCAUAUCAAGAAACUUGGCCUUUACCUACUUAGCGACCUCUUCUCGGAUUCUCUCUGCCCAUUCCAGUCUUAGUCUUCUCAUUUUCUACUUAAUCAGAUUAAUGUGCGGAUAGGUUGGAUGUGGUGCUCUGCUAUCUUUCUAUCUAACCUUGGCAUGUCAUCGUAGGACCAAGCAAAUACUUCUUGUAUUUUUUCCCUUACUUUUUCUAAUUCUCUCCUCUCCUCAAGAGUUAUAUCAUGAGCUAUUAAAAUGUUCCGUAGAUUUUUAUCUGUGCCUAAAUUAAAUGAAUCAAUUUGUAUGGAAUUAAUGUCAAACAUGCAUAUGUUAUGAUUAUCAAAAUGCACACUACCAUCAGAAAAAAAAAACAUCGCACAAGCAAAAUUGGAGUUUAUAUCUAAUUGAUCUUAGAAAUAAAAGAAACAUCAUCCUCACAAAGAUCGAAAAUGAUUACAUCAUUAUAGAAUACAUCAAUAAUAUGCUCCUUUAUUAGAGCAGCUAGCUCUUGCUGACUUAGCUUCUCAGGCAGAGAGAUGAACUCUUCCAGCUUCAACUCCUCUACCUUAGUGCUGACCUUCUCACAAGCUUCCUUGAUGCUCAAUUUGACCAUCUUGUCGAUGACCAGGUUCUUGAAUAUCUCGAAUCCUGGCACCUCAGUCCCAGCUAUUGUAAUAGGUUUGGACUCCUUAGAGUAGGGUUUGUAUUCCUGGACAAAUACGUCUUUUAGAGUCUUACCCCUUGGUUUGACCCUAUCUUCACACUCAUGGUAACCUAGCCCAUGACAAGUCUUUUGACCUUUAAAGUCUGAUAGCUCUGUAAUACCUUGCUGGUUUUUUCCUAGCAGUAUUUCAUGCACAAAAUCCAUUUUCUUGAACAUGCUGGCUACUUUAGGAUUGAUGUAGUCCUUAUAGAGAAUAAUAAAUUAGAAUCCAGUAGGGGCUUCUAGCUUCUUGACAAUGCUUGAAUGGCUGAGACAACCUUACCACCUUUGGCAUUAAUAGUCAUUAUUUUGCAUUCAUUAGGAAACUUGACCUUUUGAUGUACAGUGGAAGGGACUCCUCCUAGGGCAUGAAACCAUGGCCUACCCAUAACAAGGCAAAGGUAACUAGGAUGUCCGUGAUAGUGAAUUCUAUCCAGGAUUCAAUGGGACCCAUUUUUACCAAUAUUGAAAAUGUCCCCUCCAUGUCUCUCUUCAUUUCAUCAUAGGCUAUUAUAACCAUAUCCGAUAGGUUUUAGGUCUUUCAUAGUCAUCUAUAGUUUAGGGAUUAUUCGAAAGGGACACACAUUGAGGGCUAACCCAUCAUCCACCAUCACACAUGUUCUUUUUCCCUCGACCUGUGCUACUAUGUAGAGAUCUUUAUUGUAUUCUUUUCCCUCCAGUGGUAGGUCUUCGUCCAAAGAAGUCAUCAUCCCGGUGGUUUUAUCGGUUACUAUUUUGAUAAUCUCUUCAGGGGUAGUGUUAUGCUAAUACUUAUACCAUAAAAGGCCUAGAUUAAAGCCUUUUGUUAUAUGAUGAGUGCAUCAGUAGUUCCCAGAUAUUGACCAUCUUCUUUUCUUUCUUCAACUACUCUAAUAAUCCAUUAUCCCCUUCUUCAGACGCUUUCUCGACUUGUUUAAGCUCUUAUACUCACGUAUCUUCACCCUUAUCUAUUGGCUCAACUUCUUUGUUAGAGUUAUUGUUUACCUAGAGAUCCUUUGCCCUAGUGUCUUCUACUUCACACUCAUACCUAGAACUAUACCAGAUGUCGAUGGCCAUAACUGACUUCUUUUUACCCUCCUUUCAAACUUUCAGAAGACAAGGCUCACAAGCCGUUUGAUCAUUGUCUGACCCUCAACCACUUGACAUAAUAUCCUUAAUCCAAAUGCUAGGCGAAAGAGGUCUCGAAUAACGAAUCUUGAAAUCAAAUCAAAGGCUGCCUUACUAGGUCUUCACACUCAUACUGAGAAAGUUGUUCAACUUGACACUCCCCAUAGUCUAUUAAGUCCUAGAUCUCAUGCCUGAGACAAUUUCACUAAUCUGUUACAUGCCUGAAAGCUUGGUGAUACUCAUAAUAUUGCCCAUUGUGAGGGGUUGGACUACUUGUUGGUGAUUAGGGCUCGAGUUUCUUGCUCCAUUUUAGAAGCUGUUCAACUUGACACUCCCCACAGUCUAUUAAAUCCUAGAUCUCAUGCCUGAGACAGUUGUACUGAUCCGUUACAUGCCCAAAAGCUUGGUAAUACUCAUAAUAUUUUCCAUUGUAAGGGGUUGGACUGCCUUUUAGUAAUUGGGGCUGGAGUUUCCUGCUCUAUUUUAGAUGUUGGAACACGAUGGAUAAUGGUACCCCUAGCUCGGUGAAGGUUCCUUAUGGGCUAUUUGGCUUUGACUCUAGCUCAAGUUGUGAUAUGUCUUAGAAAGAGUUCAUGACCUUCUCUUCAUUGAAUUCAGGGGUGAUCAUGGACACUUGGUUUGGGAGUAGUGUGUUAUUGUAGUUUGGUAGGGAGUUUCUUCUAGUACUGGACUUGUCUGGGUCAGUUAGUUUUUCAGCAUUGAUGAGGUCUUGAAUUUCAUGUUUCAACUGGAUGUAGUUAUUUGUGUGGUGGCCGGGUGGAACUUACAGUAAGUGUUGGGUUUAUGGAUGGGUGCAUUAGGGUUAGGUGGGUUUUUCAGAGUGGUUGGAUGGAGCAUGCCAUUAUGUACUAACCUCUUAAAUAUCUUUGAGAAAGGUUGCUUGAAGUUGGAUAACUUCCUUAGUUGCUAGACAACAUUCACAUCUAAAGUUCUGCUCCUUCCAGCCUGAUAAUUUGGCCUUCCGCCAAUUUGCACGAUUCUCCUCUUAUCGUUUUUUAUUUUUUUGACCUGAAGCCCAUCAUCGUAUAAGUCCAUGAAAGUCUUCAAAUUCAUCAUCUGAAGCCUUUCAACCGAUCCAGGAAGAACAUUUCGGACCACCAUACAAACUUAGUCCUUUUUAGAGGGCUUAUUUUUCAUUAACCUGGACUUAUUCCUCCAUCUGGUAAAAAAUAUUGGAGAAGGACUCAUUUGGCUUUUGUUUAGUGGACUCAAGGUCCCUAAUAGAUACUUCCAAAUGAGUAUUAUAGUUAUAUUGCUUAACCAAAGACUUAUACAAAUCACGUCAUUUAGCUUUGACGAACUUUUCAGACCAUGAUACCAAGGUCCUUCUAGCGAUAAUAAAAACAACUUGACAAUUUGGGUCCUAUUUAACUGAGCAUUUCCCAUGAUAGUUACAUAUUGCUUUAGAUGAACCUUCAAAUCACCAGUCCUAUUGAACAUGUUCAUCUCGGGCAUUCUGAACUUUGCAGGCAGCUUAUCUUUGUCUGUCAGCACCAAUUCCUCGAAAUCAUAGGUCGGGUCCAAACUUUUGAUUUCCAGCAUGCCUUGCAUCUUGUCAAGCCUAGCGCUCAAGCCAUUUAUAGCUUCAUUAGUGGCAAGGGAAGUUUCCUUUUUGGCUUGGUCUAGUACGAGCUUAUCAUAAUCCCAAAGAUUCUAGGGCACUCUUCUCCUAACAAGGUCUUCAGCAUUGACAUUGGCAGCAGCUGCGGUAGCGGUAGCAAUUUCGGUGACAAUUACAACCACAUCAACAACCAUAGAAGCAACUAGGGCAAUCAGAGCAACAAGUGGGGCCUAAUUUGCAGCCGUCCUAGCCAAAAGUUAUUGGAGCUCUUCCUGAAUCACACCCCUCAGAUUAUCGAUGACAGUAUUCUUGAGGAUUUCAACAUCUUGCUCAUUAGCUUUUUUGUUGUCCAUUUCAAAUGUAGCUUCAGUAACUUGUGAAAGCUUGAUGUCUUGGCUUUUCAAGGAGCUCUAGCACGGUCCGGAUUCUCGGGGAGCUAGGUAUCUAUAUCAUCUUGACUUGGUUUUGAUUUCUCUAUUUUUUCAAGAAUAUCGAGUCGAAAUCUUCUCUUACUCGUAUAGAAUAGAACAUUGAGCCAGACCUUGUUCAUGUAAAACAUGAUUUAUUUAGAUAAAAAAAAUCAUACACUUUUAUGAAACAAUGUGCUAUGGCUUAAAUUCGUCUCAUAGAAUUACUUAGCUUAGAUCCCUAUGAUUAGAUACCAUCUAACCCGGUGUGGCAAAACCCUUAUAUAGCUUCUUCAACUUUUCGAUAAAGAGAAAUAUGAUUAACAAUAGUUUGAAUGUAUAUACAAAGAAUUUCCUUUUUAUAUUUCUUACUAUUAGAUAGCGUUCAUAAAUCUCAUGGUAGGUACUCAAAGAUUCAUAGUGAACUUCGACAAGAGCUUCUCUUGAAGCAAUAACGCAUUGAUCUAGUUGCCACUGGAACCACAAAGGGGUUGCUUUAUUUUUUUAUGAAAAUCUAUUAAUAUAUGCAUAAGUCUAGCCAUCAAUAUUUCUAAAAUUAAAUUUAGAAUGCCUUUUUCAAGAAAGAAAGACCAAGAUUCAUUUUGCAUCAUAUCUAAGGACUUUUUGGUUCGGGCCGAAGAAGCAAUGUCGCUCGAUCAUUAUUAAACAGAUUGCAAUCUUUUUCUAUUCAUGAGGAUCCCACUAUAGUGCUUUCUGAUUCUAAUAGGCUAUUAACUAUAUCAAAAUCAUUCUCAACAAGUCUAUAAUAAAUGAUCCCAUAUUUUUCAUCGGGUCCGAGUAGAGACCAAAGGUCUUGAGCAACCGAUCCAGCAGAACAACUAAAGAUAAAGAAGUAAUGGUUAGGUUCCAUUUGUAUAUUGGUGGAAUAUGACAUAUCCUAACCAAACCCUGUGCAUGGGCUCGCCAUCCACUUGUAUGGUGUAGAGAGGCUUACUUGUCUUAUAGUUUAGGUGCUUUAUCCAUUUUUGGUUUCAUUGCUUGUUGCUUUUUUUGGUUCAAUAAUACGUUUACCCUAGUGAGUUUUAUAGGCAUACUGGACUAGAAGCUUCUCAAACUCAAGCUUUUACUUUUCUAGUUCGAGAUCAACGUCCUGGGGCUAAUGUGGGAUAUGCUCAAGGACCUAUCGGGUUAGGUAAAUAUUUAAUGCAUUCACCUAAUGAAGUAGUUAUUUUUGAAGGUGAAACUAUGCAUUUUUUGGAUCUUCAUGCUCCUUGGUUAGAACCUCUAAGAGGUCUAAAUGGCUAGGACUUGAAUAGGCUGAAAAAAGACAUACAACUUUGGCAAGAACGUUGUUUUGUAGAAUAUAUGACCUAUGCACUUGUAGGUUCGUUAAAUUCUGUAGGUGGCAUAGCUAUCAAAAUCAAUGCAGUCAAUUAUGUGUCUCCUAGAAGUUGGUUAGCUACCUCUCAUUUUGGUUUAGGGGUUCUUCCUAUUCGUAGGUCAUUUAUGGCACGUAGAAAAGGCUUGUGCAGCUGCAACAAGAUUUGAAAAAGGAAUUGAUCGUGAAUCCGAACCUAUUCUUUCCAUGACUCUUCUUAACUAACUGAGAUAAGAGAUUUAAUAGUAAGGAUGUUGCACAAGUAUUUAUAAGACUAAAUCAUCAACAGGUUCUCCCAGCACAUUGAAAAUUCAUCCUAUAGUCACCCUGUCGACUGGAACACUGAAAGGACCUCCCAUGUCAAUCAUUUCCAUUCCUCUCAUUAGACUGUCUGUAGCACAUGGCUUGAAUCUUUAGUACUCUCUUAUUUAUUAAGCCGAAACCAGAUCCUUCAACCAAAACGCCACCUAAACCUAAAUUAAAAAAACUCCCAUCUCAUUUAAAAUAUGCAUUCUUAGGUUAAUGAUUCUUAUCCUGUGAUUAUUUCUUCUAACUUAUUUGUUGCAGAGGAAGAUAAGUUGCUGAGAGCAUUAAGGACAUGCAUGACUGCAAUAGCAUGGUCUAUUUCAGAUAUUAGAGGAAUAGAUUCAUCCAGUUAGAUGCAUAAGAUUUUGAUGGAAGAGAACUAUCGCCCCACUACUCAAAACCAAAGGCGUUUGAACCCCAAUAUGAAAGUUGUAUGUAAUGAGAUUUUAAAACUACUUGAUGCAUGUAUUAUCUAUUCUAUUUCUGAUAGUGCUUGGGUGAGCCCUGUACAAGUAGUGCCUAAGAAAGGAGGCACAAUAAUAGUUAAAAAUGAAAAUAAUGAACUCAUCCCAACUACGACGGUUAAAGGAUGGAGAGUAUGCAUUGAUUAUAGAAAGUUGAAUGCAAUAACACGUAAGGAUCAUUUUCCUUUGCCAUUUAUUGAUCGAAUGAUAGAGCGUCUAUGUGACACCUGUAAAGGAUGUCAGACAUACAUUGUAUGCAAAGACUGAUACAUAACAUAUUUCUUAACUACUAACUUUUAACUCACAAAUUAUUAUGUAUAACAAAAACUAUUUAUAUGAGUUAUACAUAUCACACACCAAAAAGCUCACAACAUUAAUAGUACACUUUUUUUUAUAUACACAUAAAAUGCUCCAGAUUUAUACAUGAUAAUGAAAUCCACUUGACAUGUCACGUUCAAGAAAGAAAAACUGAGGGCGACCUCCUGCUGACCUACCUGACACAAUGCUAGUGCGACAGAUGCAAAUGUUUCAUCAAAACCAAUUAUAAUUCUUCUAAUCCUGAAAAAGAAAUAAUGCAGAGGAGUGAGCCUGCAACUCAGCAAAAGAAUAACAUAAUUUCCUAUGAAAAAUAACACAAUCAAACGUGUAGAUUAUCAAACAUCAAACCAUUCGAUAUUUAAUUAUGACUUUAUAGUGUUUACAUAAACCUUGUCAUAGUAUUUUCUUUAGGACAGCAAUGAACUUGUGAAUUACAUUUAAUUCCAUAAUAAUAUAUAUAUAUUUUUUUAUUUUCAUGGAUCCCCAUACGCAUACAGCCAACCAUAAUCUUAUGGGGAAUUCCAUAUCGCAUACAGCCUUGCCUCAUUCACAAGUAGUAUUGCGUCCUUACAAUCAUCCAACCAUAAUUCUUAUAUAUAUAUAUAUAUAUAUAUAUAUAUAUAUAUAUAUAUAUAUACCAUUUAAAUAACUAACAUCUCCAUAAUAUAUAAGAAACCAUAAUAAUACCUAUGAUAUACCAAAAACAUACCAUAUUCGAACAUGGCAUAUUUAAUAGUGCAUUCAGAAAUACACCAAAAAUUUCACAUUAGGAAUUCCAAAACCAUAUUCUCCAGAUCAGUAAUAUUAUAAGUCUAGAUUAAUUUGAAACUGAUUUUACAUCAAAUGGAUGUGUAUAGAAAGAGAAACAUCAAAAAUAUUCUACCAUGGUCAAGCUGUCAAUAAAAUUAAGCAACAGAAAGUAUGAUCCAGAUUGGCCAUCAAAACAGCAAAAUCAAUCUUCCUCUAUUUCUAUAACAUUUGUAAAGUACAUUUCAAAUUUUCUAUAGCAAUAAGUAGCACUCCAUUUGGAGUUAUAAAACUACAGAUAUGGCUAAAUCAAAUAUACUGUUCACAUUAUAACAGGACACUCGAAUUCACCAUUCAACAUUCAUAUAGAACAUUAAGUUAUUCACUUACCUUUGUUGCUCCCUUUCCUUUGCUUGAGCUUACUUGGGUGUCACCCUCAUUCUAAAUUGGUUUAGCUGAAAUAGAUCAUAAUUCACUAUUUUUAAACACCCAAAGUUAGUAGAAUUUCAUAUAGCAUGAUAACAUCACUAAACUCUCUACAUAUGUGUGGCUGCCAACUAUGACAGAAUUAAUAGGGUGAAUUUAAAAAUCCACCAAAACUUCUAUACAAUAAAUUUCAUAGUGAAACUUUCCAGAUCACUAACCUUAUGUGUCUAAUAUAAUUUAAAACUGAUUUCGUUUCAAUUGGAGGUGUAUAGAGAAAUAUCCAUAUAAAACAAUCCACCUUUCUCAGACCAAAGAUGGAAACUGAACAAUAAAAUAUAUUCUCUUAUUAUACUAACAUAGAGCCUGAUUCAGAUCGAGCUAAAGAAAUAAAAGUUUUAGAUGUCUCUUUAAAGUUUCUAUAUCAUUAAAGAACACUCAAUUUAAAGCUUCCUAGCUCAAGAUAUGAUCAAAACAAUAAGACUGAAAAAAUAGGUCUUUAGAACUCGAAUUCAAUGUCUUCUAAACCCUAACUCAAUUCAAAAAAAUAUUAAAAUUACUUACCAAAUAAACCUCUAAAGCCUUUGUAGAUGAAGAUUAAGAUAAAAAAUGGAUUCGAAACCUCCAAAUUCCACUUGAAAAUUCAGUUUUCUCUUUUUUUUUUGAAGAAGAAGAAGAAGAAGAAAGAAAGAAGAAGGAAGAAGAACUACCAUCUUUUCUUUCUUCUUCCCCUUUUCUAUCAUAUUAAUAAUAUUUUUUUAGGUUCAAUUAACCCCUUAAUUUUUUUGCCAUUAAUCAACUCAGUCCCUUAACUUUCUAAUUCUUAUUAUAGACUUAAUUGUAACAUUUAUAAUAUUCUUCUAUUUGUCAUUAGCACUAAUACUAUACAUAUCUCAUGCAUUUCUCAUAUCUAUAUGAUAUGCAUGUUAUAAAAAUAAAUGCAAAUGCAUUAGGUAGGCAUUACAGUCUAGUAGAUUAUUGAUGGUUAUUCAGGUUAUAACCAGAUAACUAUUGACUUCGAGGAUCAGGAAAAGACCACUUUCACAUGUCCUUAUGGUGCCUUUGCGAACUAUAGGUUGCCAUUUGGUCUAUAUAAUGCUCCUGCUACCUUUCAACAUUUUAUGAUGUCAAUCUUUCUUGGUAUGGUAGAGAAUAUUAUAGAAAUUUUUAUGGAUGAUUUUUAUGUAUUUGGUUCUUCUUUUGAUACGUGUUAACUAGCUUAGAGUUUUGCAGAGAUGUGAGGAAAUCAACCCGAUACUUAGCUAGAAGAAAUGCCAUUUUAUAGUGCAAGAAGGAAUUAUGUUAGGACAUAAGAUUUCUGAAGAGGAAGUUGAGGUGGAUAGAGCAAAAAUUGAAGUGAUUGAGAAAUUACCUCCUCCUAAUUGUCUGAAAGCUACUAGGAGGUUUCUUAGACAUGUAGGAUUCUAUAGGAGGUUCAUUAAGGAUUUUUCAAAAAUCUCAAAGCCGUUAUGUGCCUUACUUAUGAAAGACAUACCUUUUGUUUGUCUUGAAGCUUUUGACAAGUUAAAGAAAGCUUUAAUUUAUGCACCUAUAAUAACUCCACCUAACUGAGACUUACUUUUUAAACUUAUGUGUGAUGCAAGUGACUUUGCAUUAGGAGUUGUACUAGGACAAAGGAGAGAUAAGAGAUUGCAAGUGAUGUAUUAUGCGAGCGAAAUGUUAAAAGAUGCUCAAGUUAAUUGUAUUACUACUGAAAAAGAGUUAUUAACUAUUAUUUAUGCUUUUGACAAAUUUCGCUCUUAUCUUGUAGGUUCCAAACCAUUGUUUAUACAGAUCAUUCAAUGAUUAAAUACCUCCUUACUAAGGAGGAUGCUAAACCGCAACUAAUUCACUAGGUUAUUUUACUGCAGAAAUUUGAUUUUGAGAUCCAUGAUAAGAAGGGAUGUGAGAAUUUAGUGGCAAACUACUUAUUGAGACUAGUGACUAAUAGCAAUGAUGACGAUGAGGAAAUCAUUAAUGAUGAGUUUCCAGAUGAGGAAUUAUAGGUGGUAAAAGAUAUCUCUACACCAUGGUUUAUUGAUAUUGUUAACUAUUUGGUGUCUAAUAUAUCCCUACAUGAUUUAAACCAUCAUCAAAGAAAAAAAUUCCUAGCUAACAUUAAAUUUUAUAUGUGGAUGGACUAUUAUUUUUUAGGAGAUGCGUAGAUGGGAUAGUCUGAAGAUGUAUUCUAGGAGAGGAAAUGGUGCAAGUUAUUCAAUAUUGUCACUCCUCGUAUGGUGGGCAUCAUGAAGCUGACAAAUGGUGAUCAAGGUACUUCAAAGUGGAUUUUAUUGGCCGACAUUAUUCAAAGAUGCUAAAAGCUUUUGUAUAACAUGCAAUAGAUGUCAACGAACUAGAAACAUGGGAAGGAAGAAGAAGAUGCCUCAACAAAGCAUUCUUGAGGUUGGGAUGUUUGAUUUUUGGGGAUUGGACUUUAUGGGACCCUUUCCGUCAUCAUGUGGUAACCAAUACAUUCUUGUAGCGGUUGACUAUGUUUCCAAGUUGGUAGAAGUAAUAGCAUUGCUAGAUAACAUAGCUAACAAUAUGGUGAGGAUUAUGAAAAGAAAUAUAUUUUGUCGCUUUGGUGUUCCUAGGUCCAUUAUGAGUAACAAUGGAGUUCAUUUUUAGAAUGCUUAGUUCAAAUAUCUCUUGGUUAAGUAUGGAUGUCACCAUAAGACAGUCACAACAUACCACCCCAAACUAGUGGUCAGGUGGAGAUAUCCAAUAGAGAGAUUAAGCAAAUUUUAGAGAAAACAGUAAACUCUUCAAUAAGGAAUUGGGCAAUGAAAUUAAAUUACACAUUAUGGGCAUAUAGAACAAUUUAUAAGACACCUUUAAGGAUGUUACCCUAUAGGUUAGUCUGCAGGAAAACAUGCCAUUUGCCUUUAGAAUUAGAGCAUCACACAUAUUGGGUAGUAAAGAAGUUGAACUAUGAUUUCAAAGUUGUAAUGAGAAGAGAUUGUUACAACUGAAUGAACUUGAGGAAAUACGGCAUGACUCAUACGACAAUGCGCACAUUUAUAAGGAGCGUACAAAGGCAUGGCAUGAUAAAAGAAUUACUAAUAGAGAGUUUCUUGUUGGUCAAAAUGUUUAACUGUGUUUCAAAUUGUUUCCAGGUAAACUAAAGUCUAGAUGGUCGGGACCCUUCAGAAUUACCAAAGUGCAUCCAUAUGGUACCAUAGAGAUACAAGGAGAGGAAUGCAGCCCAUUUGUGGUGAAUGGCCAAAGACUGAAGCAUUAUCUUGAGGAGAAAUUACAGUUGUAGCUCAUAAGAUAUCCUUUACCAACUGACACAAGCAACAUAAUGUCUAGCUAAAGACAUUAACUUGAACGCUUAUUGGGAGACAAACCUAUUUUUAUUUCAAGAAUCUACUUUAUGUCAGUUUUAUUUUUAUUUUUUAGGAAAGUUAAUGUAUCUUAUAUUCUGUAAAUAUAAUUAAAAUGGUGUUGGGAAAAUUUCAAAUUUUAAGGAGCAGUUCACAAUUGGUAACAAGUUUUUCUUUAUCACUUGCACACUAUAUCAUUGAUAUUUGUGUGAUAGAUGACCAUUUCUAAGUAUAACCAUGUCGUACAUUGAGUGCAUCACCUUGUUAUCUCCUUUUUCCUUUAAAUUUACAUAUAUUUAGAAUGCAAACAUGGUUUAGUUCCUAAACUAGCCGUACGACGGGUCCUAGGAAGCUUUUAGACCAUGAGUCGGUUGAGGAUUAAAAGUUAAUGGUCGUUUAUGAUGAACUAGUCCUAAGACUGACCCUAUCUAAUUUGACAACAUAACCGAUUCAGUAACCGGUCCACAUUGGAUAUUAGGUGAAAAAUUGGUUUUAAACAGGCUCUAAGCUUGAUUCACACAAAUUUUAAGUCCAUAACAAUUCUGAAGGGAUCAAAUAAUGGUUUUUGGCUUCUAAAGGGUUAGAAAAAGUUAGUAGUUGUGUUUUAGUUUUUUUCUUUUUAUUUUAGGAUUAGAAGUUAUAGUUUUAAUACAUAAAUAGAACUUCUAAUCAUAGUUCAAUUAGUUUUCUAACUCUAGUAAGAAUUAGAACUCCUAGGAUUUACUUUAUAAAUAAACCCCCCUCUACACAUUGGAUACUAUUAUUCUUUAUACCUACACACAGCCAUGAGUUCUAGGGAAGAUAAUGUGUAUGAAAUCACAUCAUCACCAUCACCAUUACCACUUCACUUUAGGCAAACAUGACCAUCACCAUGUUAAAAAAGAUCUCCAAUGCCCUAUCCCACUAAGUUUAUGAAGCGAGACUUUUUCAAACCUUGCCUUUCAUCCUCUAGAAAUUGGACAGCACAUCAUAGAAAAAGAAAUCCAUGGGAUCCAAGGCCAUAAGAGAUAACUACCAUGUUAGCUUAUCAAAGGACAUAUCCUAAGUCCAAUGAGUAUAAAUUCUCUUUGGAGGAAAUAGUGGAGAAUGAAGAAAGGGAAAGAACUUUUCAAGAAGAAUAUCUUAUCGAGGAAAAUACUUUGGAUGAGGCACAAGAUCUGAAAAUAGCAUAGAGGGUGAUCUUAGUGAACCUAGUAAUUGGGAAGGAAAGGAGGGUACUCCGCCUCUAAAAAGAGCUAGAUGACGCCUUAGGAAACAUGCCCGUGUCACCUCUACACCAAAAAGAGGAUGAGGAUGUUCAAAGAAGGUGGGACAACCUUCUAUGAUUAAGAGGGAAAAAGGACGCCUAAGAAAGUAUUUUUGAAAUUAUUAGAUGCUAGGAUUGGAUUUAAUUUUGGAUUAGUUAAAUUAGUUUCUUUGUACUAGUUAGAUUUAGUUAUUUUCUUAGAUUUUGAUUUAAAUCUUUGGAUUUUUGUUAUUUUGCUUUUAACUAUUAAUAAAAUUCAUUUAUUUUUAUGUGAAUUUCAUUGAUUUUUAUUUUAUUAAAUUAGAUUUAUUACAUGUGUAUAUGUAAAUUAGUAAAAUUUUAUAAAAAUCCAAGAAAAGUGCAUGAUGAGGUGAAUUGGCCCUACGAUCGGUCCUCAGUACACAAAACAUCCAGAACCAGUAGUAGAGCCUGUCUAGAACAGUAGACUCAUAGAAGAUAGGGCAUCAACCAACCCAUGAACUGGCCCUAUGUUGAACUCUGAACUGGUUCAGGACGGAAGAAAGGAAAUAAAAGGUGCUUAAAACACCUUUUCUCUCACUUCCCUACAAUUUCUUCAUCAUUUUCAACCUAAACACAUAUUCUCUCAACCUAAGACUCAAAAUCACUCAAUCUCUCCCCAUUUUCCUAAAAUUAAAACCCGAAUCUAUACUUCUAAACACAUCUAGUUCACUUUUAAGCUAAGAUUAUCAACAUUUGAAGUAAUAACAAGAAGAACAUCAAGGAAGGAAUUUCUCCUUCUACUCUUUGGGUUAUUGUUUAUUCUCACCUUGAAGUAAGUGGGUCUUUCACUUUUCUUCUAGAUUAGAGCUAAUUUGUGAAUUUGGCAUGUAUUGAGGUAAUUAGGUUUAAUUGAGAAAAAUUGGGAGAUUGAAUAGUGAAUAUUUGCAAUUGGUGCUCUGAUUGAAUGGUUUAGAUUGAAUUCGUUAUUGGGCAUUGUGAAUUGAAGCAUAAUCUCAAGUAAUUGGAAUAUUAGAGUAUGAAAACAUGCCUAGGGAGAAGAAUAGAGGAAAGAAAUCAAAGGCAAGUUCUAGUAGUAGAGAUUUAGUAACCCUCAAUGAUCUUGAGAGUUUACUACUAGAGUACAUGAAACAGGUUUAAUAGGAGGGCUAACAAUCAUAUUAUUAUGGAGAAGGCUUUAAUACCCAAAUUGAAACUCUUUUCAGUUUAGGUGAGGCUUUUCGAAAUAUUAAUUAGGACAAGGUGCUAGAGAUUUCCAAUUACUAUUAUCCUGAGCUAGUUAAGCAAUUUUAUGCUAAUAUCAGAGAAAACUAUGAUAAGAAUUUAGCCUUUAUUUCUACUUGGGUAAAAGAGACUAGAAUGACAAUUACAAAAAAUUAUCUUGUAGGAACCUUAAAUGUAUCUGCAGUUGGACCAACUUUUCACCUAAUUAGAGAUUCGAUAGUUUCUGAUGUAAAUUGGAAAAUUAGUGUAAAGGGCGACAAUUUAUUCUAUGUAAGUCAUUAUCCAUUAAAGAGCGCUUAAUAGUCUAUUUACUAAGCUACAAUGUCAUGCCAAAAGCCAGUAGGCUAAAUAAGGCUAGAUUUUCUAAUAUGUACAUAAUGGAUAAGAUGUUCCAUGGGUUUAAGGGAAUGGUCUAAGGAAUCCCUCUUAUUCCAAUUCUAAUAUAGCACAUAAGAGAGGUAGUAAGAUCGAAAAGAAUGGAAAAGGCAUUCAUCUACCCUAGAUUGAUCACCAAGCUUAUUAAAGACUUAGUAUGGAUGUGGAAGGAGCGAAAAAGUGAUGAGUACAUCUGCAGAUGAGUUGACUGAGAGUAACUUAUAGAACAUAGGUUACAGGAAAAUUAGAGGAAUUUGUAGGAAUCUAGAUAGGGAUCCUUUGAGAGAAGGAGAGGAAGAAAAGAGAAAAGUGGAGAAGAAGGAGGAAAUAAUGAGAUAGAAAAAGAAUCAGAUGAAGCUCCCCCAGCAGAGGACCCUCAGGUAGCCCCUCCUGCUGAGGCACCUAAUUAAGGAAGAAGUGCAAGACCAAGACAAUCACUUACUACAAUGAAUUUUUGAGUAGUUGUAGGGGAUUGGGGAGGGAUGUCCAAGAACAGAGAGUAGUCUUGGAUUCACUAUAAAGACAUGUCCAAGUAAAUGAAAUGAAGAUUGACAGGCCCUUGGAGCUUCUAGAGCAGCAGCGCAAACAACAGUAGAGACUUCAUUUCAUCAGUUUACUUUUGCAUUUUUGCAUUUUUAUGUUUGUGACUCUUUCUUAAUUAUGAUUGUGUUUAUUUUCAGUUAGCUUUAUUAUGUGUGUAAGACUAGUUUUUAAUAUUUUAUGACGUUAAAUAUUCAUAAUUUUUAAUUUCUUUGGUUAAGUUGAGCAUUAGCAGCUUAUUCUUUUAUCUCCAAUCAAGCGAAAAAAUUAUUAUCCAAUUAUAAGAACAUCAAGUCAAAGAGGGAAGAAAGAAACAUAGGGAGUACUACUUUCCUUAUCCAUUAUAUUCCACUAUUUAUUUGUUUUUCAUAUUGAGGAUAAUGUUUGAAUUAAGUAUGGGGGGAGAAAGCUUUGAAUUUUAAGAUUUUAAGUUUUUAGUUUUUGUAGAUUCCAUUUGUUAAUGUAGAUUAUCAUUCUUAUUUAACUCUAAGUGUCAAAUUCUCAAAUUUUAAGUAGCUUUGAUUUCUUUUGGUUGAUAUAUGAUUAUGUUGUUGUCAUCAAUUUGAAAAUAAGAUUAAUUACUAUAAUUUGUUCAUGAUUGUGUAGCAUGUAAAUUGGAUUGCUAAUUCACGAUACUUUAACAUGGAUAACGUAGAUAUUUGAUGAUAUUACAGGUUAUUAUUUUAUUAUGCCUUUUGGAAUCUUUUGAGGCUUUCUCUUUCUUAAAAAGAAUUGAUGUGAAGAUUGUGCUGAAAAUCUAUACUCCAAUGUUGUUUAAUUGCUCAAUAAUCAGGGAUUUCGUGUAAAAAGGUAAUUAAUCAAUGUGAGUAAGCAAAGCUUCUCAAGGUUUUCAUAUGUUGAGUAACCAGAUGCUUUCACCACAAGUCAUAGUAUUUGCUUAAAAAGACUAUGAACGUCUUAAGGAAUAGAAUUAAUUAUUAUCCAGGUGUGAAAAAGAGAAAUUAUUAGGGUGAUGGAAAAGAAAGAAAAGGCAAUCUCAUGGCAAUAGAAGAAAUCAAAGAAAAAGUUAGAGAUUGAGAUAAGUUUUUUAAAGACGAAAGUAGUAUGAUUGAAUAAUUUCAUAAGUGAUUAAAUUAGUUGUUUGUGUUAAUUUUCUGUCGAGGUCACACAUACACAUGCAUGCUUUAAGUAAAUCUUGCACUUGAAGUGACUUAAUAUUAGUUCCUUUUGAUUACAAAAUUGAUUGACGAUUAUGAGAUCGUUGCCAGAGAGUUAUUUGAACUAUCCAAGUAGAUUGAUUAGUUUUAGGAAACAUGGAUUGUCAGUAGUUGAGGACAAGUAACAAUUUAAGUAUUGGAGAAUUUGAAAACUCUAUAUUAUAAGUAUAUUCCAUUAGGAAUUAUGUGUAUUUUUGGAUCAUAUACUUGCAAUUCAAAAGAGUUUUUAUUUUAUUUUGAUACUGAGUUAUGGCUUAUGCGUUUUGAAGGUAUUUUUACAAUUAUAUGAGAAAUUGAAGCAAUCUGGAGCAUAAAUUAAUUCUUGGUUCGAUUUAGAGAAGGCACAUGUGAAGAAUUCAAAAUUUAGGGUUAACUAGCUCUAGGGCUAGCUCAGUAAAGGAGGACCGAUCGGAGAACCGGAUGAAAAAGUUAGAAAAUCAAGUUGUUAUAGUGAACUGAACGGGUUGUCGAAGCCCUUCAAAAUAAAUUAUUGAUUUUCCUAAACUAACUUGUAGAAAUAAUGAAACCACGUCGAAUUCCAAUGGAACCAAUGUGAAUAACUUCUCAAAGUUAAAUAACAAAAAUAGGGGGUUUUGAAUGAUUGAACUAAAAUUAUAAAUAAAUAAGAAAAUAAUAAAGCUGAAAAUUAAAGUAAAUAAAAUUCAAUCUUACCAAACUUCCAAUUCAAGAGUGCAAAUUCCAUCCAAUUGUAUUUAUGAUCAUAGGCUUAAAUAUCAAUUUUUCUAUUCAAGUACUUAGUCUAAUUAUUUGGAAAAGCUGCAAUAAGUGUAAAUUCUCCUAAUAUAAUUGACUCAAACCCAGCAUCCAAAUCAAAAUUUACCAUUAGUCAACUGGGCACGAUAGCGUUCUAUAUCAACUCAAUGAUAGCAUUAAGAAUAAUAAGAAUGACUUAACCAAUAUUUAUUAAUUGAGAUAGCUGCAACUAAAUUAAUCUUGUUCCUUUAUUUUCCUAGAGCCUAUCAUGCAAGCUAUGUAAUUCGGAAAGGCCGCAAUCACACACAUAUGAGCCAACUCUUGCUACUUGUAUCAAUCAUUCAUGAGAAUUACGAAUCACAAACUCAAGGAUAGCAAUAGAAAAAUCAUUAUCAAAUUGAGUCGUCGGUUCAAUCAAUAUCAAAAAUUCAUAAACAAUAAAAAUAAGAAAUAAAGAAUACUUGAAUUAAAGAAGAAAUUCUGUUAAGCACAAAAUGUGACAAAAUUAUAAUUAGAAUUUAUUCACUCUUGAAUCAGAAAUUAGAAGCUUAGCCACACAUGGUGGAGUAACAAUUCACAAGAGCUGUGGGGAAUUGAUACGAACUCGAACCGGAUACGUUCAAACACCAAGAUAAGUAAUGGUGAGAAAAUCAAACUGAUAAACGCUCUCCCUAUUUAAGAGGAAGCACCCUUACCAAUAAGUUCGAAUUUGUCGUCCCAAGAUCUAACUUGAAAGUUUGCAAUUUAUUAUGGAACUAACAAACUUAGCAAUAGAACUACUAAGCCCUUUAGUUAUAAAUAGAUGAAGAAUGUUCAAACAACUCAAGAAACUAAUAAAAAGUUAAUUGAUUGAUCAAACAUUUAGAUGUGAAACUAAAUCAAACAAGUUAAUUUAAUCUCAAGAAAUUCAAUAAGGAACACCUUAAGGAAUAAGAGUUAACAACUCAAAUAAAACUUCAUUCAGAAAUGAUCUUAUGUCCUUUAGCCGAAAUACAUAGCUCUAUUUAUAGAGUUUUGAAAUGAUUCUAACCCUAAAAAGGACUAAGAGAUAAGCAAUAAAGAAUCAAACCCUAAAAGAUUUCUAAUGUGCGGCUGCCUCCUUCUCUAAGCAUAAGUGGUGGCUGCCCUAGGGUUAGGUGAGACCUCCAAUGCUUCUAGAAACCCUAAUGUGCAGCCCAAUGCUUAGGGUGCAGCCCAAUGCUUCUAGAAACCCUAAUGUGCGGCCCAAUGCUUCUAGAAACCUUAGGAAAGCCUAUUGACUUUGAUCCCUGAUCUUUGACCUUGACCUUGUUCCAUGACCAGAAGUUUAAGCUUCAUUAAUAGCAAUUAAUGUCACUAUCUUCAAGGCGUUGUUAUCUUCAUUAAAAGCACCAUCAUUAGCCAUCUUCAAAACAUGCUCCAAGUAAGAAUUUAAGGCUUGCUUGAACCUUUUACUCCUUGCUCGUGUCAUCGGUCCUCCAUAGGCUAGUGGAUCCAUGCUAGUUGACUUAGAUGCAUCUUUGGUUGCAUCAUUCCCCCCCUCUUUGAAAGGAUUCGACCUCGAAUCAACGCCUUCAUCAAAAUUAAAAGGAGACAAAUCAGCAACAUUAAAAGUAGCACUAACAUUAUACUCACCAGGUAAGUCAACUUUGUAUGCAUUAUCGUUGAUGCGCUCUAUUACUUCAAAUGGACCAUCACCACGUGGCAUCAACUUUGAUUUUCUUUGAUUGGGAAACCUUUCCUUCCUGAAGUGCACCCAAACCCAAUCACCAACUUCAAAUACCAUCCUUUUGCGGCCCUUAUUGCGUUGUUUGGUGAUUUGUUCAUUGCGUCUUUCCAAAUUUGCACGCACUUGCUCAUGCAACUUCAACACAAAUUCAGCCUUCUUUGCACCAUCUAAAUUCACUUGUUCACUCAAAGGUAAAGCAAUCAAAUCUAAAGGACUCAAAGGAAUAAAGCCAUAAACAAUCUCAAAUAGGCAAAAUUGAGUAGAAGAAUGCAUACUACGAUUAUAUGCAAAUUCAACAUGCGGCAAACAAUCUUCCCAUGUUCUCAAGUUUCGUUUAACCAUGGUCCUAAGUAAUUGUGACAAAGUUCUAUUUACUACCUCAGUUUGACCAUCGGUUUAGGGAUGACAUGUAGUAGAAAAAAGUAAUUUAGUUCCCAAUUUACCCCAUAAGGUCUUCCAAAAAUAGCUCAAAAACUUGGUGUCCCUAUCACUGACAAUAGUUCUAGGCAUACCAUGUAAACGUACAAUUUCUCUAAAGAACAAUUCAGCAACAUGUUGUCCAUCAUCGGUUUUCCUACAUGCAAUAAAGUGUGACAUCUUUGAAAACCUAUCCACCACAACAAAAAUACUAUCAUGCCCAUGCUUAGACCUAGGUAAUCCAAGCACAAAAUCCAUAGAUAUGUCAAUCCAAGGAGAAUUAGGUAUGGGCAAAGGCAUGUAUAACGCAUUAGGUUGUGAUUUAGACUUAGCUUGCUUGCAUACAAUACAGUUAGCACAUAAUCUAUUCACAUUAGAUUUCAUUUUAGGACAAUAGAAAUGAUCAUGCAAAACAUCUAAAGUCUUUUGAACACCAAAGUGUCCCAUCAAACCACUUUCAUGUGAUUCUCUCACAAGAAAUUCAUGCAUAGAACACAUAGGAAUGCAUAGACGUUUUUCUUUGAAUAAAAAUCCAUCAUGUCUAUAAAAUUUAUCAAUAGCACCAUGUUCACAAGCAUAGAAAAUAGAACCAAAAUCGUGGUCAUCAACAUACAAAUCUUUGAUAUACUCAAAACUAAGCAAUUCUGUUUCUAGAGAAGCAAGUAAAGCAUACCUUCUAGAUAGUGCAUCGGCAACUACAUUUUCUUUACCUUACUUGUACUUAAUGACAUAUGGAAAUGCUUCAAUGAAUUCACUCCAUUUAGCAUGGCGCUUAUUCAACUUGUUCUGUCCCUUCAAGUGCUUUAAUGCUUCAUGAUCCGUGUGAAUCACAAACUCCUUAGGUAGCAAAUAAUGCUGCCAAACAUUGAGUGCACGCACAAGAGCAUACAAUUCCUUGUCAUAAGUUGGAUAUUUCAAGCUAGCUCCAUUCAACUUUUCACUAAAAUAGGCUAUUGGCUUCCCAUCUUGCAUUAAAACAACUCCAAUACCUACACCAGAAGCAUCACAAUCAAUUUCAAAAGUUUUGGAAAAAUCCGGAAGUGAAAGAAUGGGAGAUGAAGUAAGUUUGUCCUUUAGCAUAUUAAAUGCGUUUUCUUGUUGUUCUCCCCAAUGAAACUUCACGUUCUUCUUUACAAGCUCGUUAAGUGGUGCGGCAAGGGUACUGAAGUCCUUGACAAACCUCCUAUAGAAGCUUGCAAGCCCAUGAAAGCUCCUCACAUCACUAACAUUCUUUGGUGUUGGCCACUCCNNNNNNNNNNNNNNNNNNNNNNNNNNNNNNNNNNNNNNNNNNNNNNNNNNNNNNNNNNNNNNNNNNNNNNNNNNNNNNNNNNNNNNNNNNNNNNNNNNNNNNNNNNNNNNNNNNNNNNNNNNNNNNNNNNNNNNNNNNNNNNNNNNNNNNNNNNNNNNNNNNNNNNNNNNNNNNNNNNNNNNNNNNNNNNNNNNNNNNNNNNNNNNNNNNNNNNNNNNNNNNNNNNNNNNNNNNNNNNNNNNNNNNNNNNNNNNNNNNNNNNNNNNNNNNNNNNNNNNNNNNNNNNNNNNNNNNNNNNNNNNNNNNNNNNNNNNNNNNNNNNNNNNNNNNNNNNNNNNNNNNNNNNNNNNNNNNNNNNNNNNNNNNNNNNNNNNNNNNNNNNNNNNNNNNNNNNNNNNNNNNNNNNNNNNNNNNNNNNNNNNNNNNNNNNNNNNNNNNNNNNNCUUCACCACCUCGAAUUGCCAUGGUUCGCUUGUUUGGACAUUGGGAAGAUAUAUGUCCAUACCCCAAACACUUGAAGCAUUGCACUUUCUUUGAUUUGAGGUCACUUUGCGUCGUUGGUUUAGUGUUAACAUCAAAUUUAGGGGCUGGCUUGAUGUUCUUUGAUGCCUCACGACCCUUGUUAGGGGGCUGGUUGCUCCCUUUCCAUGGGUUACUCCAUUUUGAGCUAGGGGCAGCACUUCUGCUCUUGGUUUUUAAUUGCUUUUCCACCUUUAUGGCCAUGUGCAACAUAUCCUCCAUCUCUACAUAAUGCUGCAAUUCAAUUAUGUUAGCAAUAUCACGAUUCAAACCAUGCAAAAAUCUUGCCAUUGUGGCUUCCCUAUCCUCAUCUAUAUUGGCUCUAAUCAUAGCUAUCUCCAUAGAUUGCCAAUACUCCUCAACACUCUUACUACCUUGUACUAGAUUUUGUAACUUGUUGUACAAAUCCCUUUGGUAGUGCGAUGGCACAAACCUUUUACGCAUAAUGCGUUUAACCUCAUCCCAUGAACCAACUUCGUGUUCCCCAUGACGCCUACGACCACUCACCAAUUGAUCCCACCAAAUGGCAGCAUAAUCACAAAAUUCAACAACAGCAAGUUUAACCUUUUUAGACUCACUAUAGUUAUGACAUUCAAAAACCCUUUCAACCUUCUUUUCCCACUCCAAAUAAACUUCAGGGUCACUCUUACCAUGAAAAGAUGGUAUUUUCAUCUUAAUGCUACCCAAAUUAGUGUCAAUUUUGGGUUGGAGAUUAUGUCUAGACCCUUUAGACUCACUUUCUUGGUCAUUAUCAGAACCAUCCCCCUUUAGACGUUUUAGGCAUAUCAUUCAAUAACCUAGUUAAUUUGUCAUCUUGUUUUUGAAAUUGUUUUGUCAUAUGUUCUACUACAUCUCUCAAUGUAUAAGCUAAAUUUUCCAAAGUCAAUGAUGGUUCAGAUGACAUGGUUAAACCAAAAGACUAAGAAAGAAAACAAAAAAAUAAAAGGACGUGAUCAAGUGUUAUACUCUGGAGGCUUCUUAUAGUUAAAGGCAAAACAAGAAAAGAUCACUCCCUCACGUGUUUCACUCACAAAGAAUUGAAUUCCUUAUAGAAAUUAAAUCAAAUUGUUCUAGUAAUCACAAGAACAAGUUUUUCACACCUCUUAACGUUUAUUAAUUCUGAAGUUCAUAGAACACUCGUGAAUCAAUAAAUGAUUAUAAGAGUGUGACAAACAAGCUUACACUAAUCGACAGACUCAUUACCCAAAGAAAGCUUUUAGAGAAACAACAAAAUUACCCAAAUCAGAAUUAUAAGAAUGAAGAACAGCUCUAAUUGAUUAAAAGGAAUUACAGAAUGAAUCAAUCAAGAGUCAAUUCUUCAAGAACUACCCAACACAAAUGGUUAGGGUUAGUUUUCCGUUCCUUCCCUUUUUUUUUUUUUGGAAAUCUGCCUUGGUAUGCGGGCAGCAAUGAAAAUAGUAUACUUUCUUUUUUUAUUUAUAAUAAUGCGAACAGAAAUUGAGAUGAAAUAGAAGACAGACUCUUUAAUUGAAAAAACAUGAACCAACUAACAAGUUUGGCUCUGAUACCAAAUGAUACGAACUCGAACCGGAUACGUUCAAACACCAAGAUAAGUAAUGGUGAGAAAAUCAAACUGAUAAACGCUCUCCCUAUUUAAGAGGAAGCACCCUUACCAAUAAGUUCGAAUUUGUCGUCCCAAGAUCUAACUUGAAAGUUUGCAAUUUAUUAUGGAACUAACAAACUUAGCAAUAGAACUACUAAGCCCUUUAGUUAUAAAUAGAUGAAGAAUGUUCAAACAACUCAAGAAACUAAUAAAAAGUUAAUUGAUUGAUCAAACAUGUAGAUGUGAAACUAAAUCAAACAAGUUAAUUUAAUCUCAAGAAAUUCAAUAAGGAACACCUUAAGGAAUAAGAGUUAACAACUCAAAUAAAACUUCAUUCAGAAAUGUAUAUUGAUCUUAUGUCCUUUAGCCGAAAUACAUAGCUCUAUUUAUAGAGUUUUGAAAUGAUUCUAACCCUAAAAAGGACUAAGAGAUAAGCAAUAAAGAAUCAAACCCUAAAAGAUUUCUAAUGUGCGGCUGCCUCCUUCUCUAAGCAUAAGUGGUGGCUGCCCUAGGGUUAGGUGAGACCUCCAAUGCUUCUAGAAACCCUAAUGUGCGGCCCAAUGCUUAGGGUGCGGCCCAAUGCUUCUAGAAACCCUAAUGUGCGGCCCAAUGCUUCUAGAAACCCUAGGAAAGCCUGUUGACUUUGAUCCCUGAUCUUUGACCUUGACCUUGUUCCAUGACCAGAAGUUUAAGCUUCAUUAAUAACAAUUAAUGUCACUAUCUUCAAGGCGUUGUUAUCUUCAUUAAAAGCACCAUCAUUAGCCAUCUUCAAAACAUGCUCCAAGUAAGAAUUUAAGGCUUGCUUGAACCUUUUACUCCUUGCUCGUGUCAUCGGUCCUCCAUAGGCUAGUGGAUCCAUGCUAGUUGACUUAGAUGCAUCUUUGGUUGCAUCAGGAAUAGAGGAAGAAAAUAAAAAAUAUAAAAGCUAAAAGCCGUCCACUUUUAUAAAAUUAGCCUCCUUAUAUAGGAAGUCAAACCUAAACCCUAAUAAAAUAAUCCCUAUCCAAAAAGAAACAAACUUCCUAUAUAAUUAUAAUUCCAUAAGGAAAGCUAAAAUAAAAGGAAAUCUAAACAAAUAAAGUCCUAAAUAAUAUAGGAGACAGUUUUCUUUAUCCAAACUUCCAAAAUAAAGGAAAUAACAUAAAAAGUGGGACUACCAUGAAUUUAACUUAAAAAAUUUGAAAUUCUCUUCAACAGAUUUCAGUAGCUCAUAGAUUGUAGGGCAUGGUCACACCUUGUUGAAAAUGAUCUUUUGCAUAAAUUUUCACUCUUUCUCAAAAGACUUGAUUUUUGACAAGUGAUGCUUUCAAACAUGUCUUUAAGUUGAAUUUUACUCAAUCCUUGAUAUUUCACUAUCUAGAUCAGAACAAACAUAAUUUCCACAAUUAAGCACAAUAUCCUAUCAAAAUAUAAUGGAGUUAAACAAAUAAGUAUAACUAUUUAUGAUCUAUCAAAUUACCCUACACCUAAUCCAUGCUUGUCCUCAAGCAUACCUCAACUCAACAUACCAAUUUUUCUCUCUACUUCCUUUUCAUCUCUUUCAAUAUCCACAAAUACCAAAUAAGUUAAACAUACGCAAUUAGUUAAAUCAUAAUGACAAUCGAGAAAAUAGCACUUAUGGGAUAAAUUUUGUAACAAAAAAAAAACAAGUAUCUCACUAUCCAUCAAAAUCAAAUGCAACAAGACUUAACACCCUAACAUGUUUUCACUCAAUACUCUCAAAGUGUUUAGGGUAUAUUUGCUCUCAGAAUCAAAACAUAGCAUGUUAUUACCAUAAGCUUGCUAAUGAAUUAAGUCUCCACCACUACAUAUAUAUUAGAUGCAAAAAUCAAAGGGUUGUAAUGAGGCUUAGGGAAGGGUAUGAUAAAAGGAAAAAUUAAAGUGUUUCACAAUCAAGACAAAAAUUUAUUUACUUGCAUGAUAUCUAUGCCACAUAACCAUAAAACACACUAUAAAACUUUAAAAUUUAUCCCCACAUCUUAUAUUAGCACUAAAAACUUUGGAGAAAUAAUAUGUAACAAUUCAAUUCAACAUAUUUGAUAAAUACUUCACCAAUUAUCCUCUUUCAUGAAAGGAUUCUUUUUCUUUUUUAUUUUUUUAUUUUUUUCGAAUUUCUUUCCAUCGCUACUUUUUCCUUUUUGCAUUUUUGCUAUUUCUUUUUAUACCAUGUAGUAAUUUUCCUCAUAUCUUGACAAGGUAGAAAAAUAAGAGUAACAAACGAAAGGUCUUAGGCUCAACAAUAUGUGUUAAAACAAGAAAAAAAUAGAAAAUAGGCUCAAAGUGGCUAACUAAAAGAAAAAUCAACAAGGUAGGUCCUUUAGGAGAAUAAGAAUUGGUUAAUCCUAAUUGUACUUAUCAUAUUAAAGCAUCAAUCCAAAAAUAUAGUCUCAAUAUGCAUUCACAAGCAAGUUCUAGAAUAAACACACUAAGUCUGAUAACACUCAACAAAAAAAAUUAGAGCAAAAUAUAAUGAAUUGCUCUUAGGUUCAAAAGCUCACUUGAAUGUUCAAAUUUGCAUCAAGUCUUGUGCAUUUUUCAAUCAACAAACUAAUGAGAUACCAUUAAAUAAUUUUAAAGAAACAUUAAUCAUGCUUAUCUCUUUCAUGCAUUAAAACUCAAAUAAAAAAUAUAACCCUAACUUACAUAGUAUUCUAGGUUAUCCAAAAAAAAACUCAAGGUUGCAAAAGAAUUUGGUUGAUAUAUCUCAGAGAGCUAUAAGGCGUGGUCACGGCUUAUAAAAAAUGAUCAUACUAGAAAAAAAAUUAGUUGAUGGAUCUCAGAGAGUUGUAAAAGGCGUGGUCACGCCUUAUCAAAACUAAUCUCCUGUCCAAAAAUUGAACUUCUUCAUUAAAAAAAACUAAAAACUAAAAAUAAAAUAAGUCAAGUGAAAGAAAAUAAAGAAAGUAUUUAGGUUUCCUCCUAAUAGCGCAAUUAUUUAACGUCAUUUUGCUCGACGGAGUGAUGAAACAUUUCAGUCAUCUAAAUAAGUAGGGUGAUAGAAAGGAAAACUAAUGAGAAAAGAAGCAAUUUCGCCCUCGUGGAAGAUCUUCAAUCUAUGACCAUUCAUUUGAAAAUUUUAUCCGAAUCCAAGCUUUUAAUUUCUACUGCACCAUAGAAAUAAAUAUUAGUAACAACAAAUGUUUCAAUCAUCUAAAUAAGUAGGGUGAUAGAAAGGAAAAUUAAUGAGAAAAGAAGCAAUUUCGCCCUCAUGGAAGAUCUUCAAUCUAUGACCAUUCAUUUGAAAAUUUUAUCCGAAUCCAAGCUUUUAAUUUCCACUGCACCAUAGAAAUACAUAUUAAUAAUAAUAAAUGGACUGAUCUAUCGAGAACGAAACUUACCAAGCAUAAGUUUCAAUCGAGAAUCAUAUAACAACACUUUUUGACCAAUCUCAAAUUGUUUCCUAAUACCAUGGAAUAACUUGGAGUUCUCUUUGUAAAUUUUUGAUUCUCAUAAGUAUCCAAUCACAACUCCUCCAAUUCUUGCAAUUGUUGUAGCCUUGUUGACAUUCCAGCUUUGUCUAUGUCCAUAUUGCACCGCCGACUGCCCAUAGCUUUAGNNNNNNNNNNNNNNNNNNNNNNNNNNNNNNNNNNNNNNNNNNNNNNNNNNNNNNNNNNNNNNNNNNNNNNNNNNNCAUCUUGUUAUUAGUAUUAGAAAUUUCAACAUUGGAAUUUAUUGGUUCAGAUAAUGUUGCUAAAAAUAAUUCUUCUACACCAAUCUCAUAAUCAAUUCCUUCUAAAUUAGAUUGUGCAUCUAAUUCUUGCUCAUCACCAACACUUUCUUUUACAAAUACAUCAUGUAUAAUUGAAUCAAUCACAUCAAUAUGACAAAGAGAAUGUACAUCAUUAGAAUAUUUCAUUACAUCAAAAAUAUUAAAUUUAACAAUUUCUCCAUCAAACUCUACAAAGAGAGUACCAUUAUCUACAUCAAUCUUUGUCUUAGCUAUUUUCAUGAAUGGUCGUCCUAACAAAAUUGAAGCUGAUUUUGAUGAGGAAUUACCAUCCAUUUCCAAAAUGUAAAAGUCAACAGGGAAUAUGAGCUCAUUAACCUGCAUCUUCAACAACUCUAAGGGGAUGAAUAUAAGAACGAUCAGCUAAUUGAAUCACUACAUAAGUCUUUUGCAAGUCAUUUAGUUUCAACUCUUGAUAAAUAGAAAAUGGUAUGACAUUAAUGGAAGCUCCUAAAUCUAACAUGGCACGCUUAAUUUUCUUAUUACCUGUAAUAACCAGUUUUUUUUUUAAAAAAUAAUAAUUAUAAAAAAAAAAGAGAAAACUUUUCCUUCCUUUUUCUUUUUCCCCUCCCAUUUCCUUCUCUCUUCUCCCUUCCCCCUCUCUCCCUCCUCUAUUUGUUCCUCCUUCCUUCUCCCUCUGCCCAUCGAGUUUAGCCCUCCCCCUUACUACCUACGCCACCCAGCUUGCCACCGUCAUCCAACAGCCCUCCUCUUCCUCCUUCCCUUUCACCGAUGCCGACAAAGGAAGAAGAGGCUCUCAUCGUCAGUUUGGCCUCCUGCUGGUGUCCUUUCGGCAAAUCGACGCUGGAAUCGGACUCUCCACCCCUAAAACUACGAAAGUGAUCCUCCUUAUCGUGAAAUCCCCCGCCAGUAGCCUCGGAAAGCUUCACGGGAGCAGCACAUUUUCGGCCCCGAUCCGACACCUUCUAGUCACUUUUCGGCUAGAAUUCUUGUAUUUUCAGACUCCUCAUAACUCGAGUUUCGCGUAGGUGCUUUCGGAUUUGAAUUUCAACACCGUUGGCAGGAUCGGCUUCCGGACCCUGGUGUUUUUCGGAUGCGUGAAAUAUUGCAAUUUCGACUCGGCAUAAUUUUAUUUAGACCUUAGAAAUUAUGUUGUAAUUUUAGAAAAAUAUUGUGGCUAUUAAUUAUCAAUGAUGGAUAAGUUAAAAAUUAUUUGGAGUUAAUUAUUUGUGAUUGUGAUGUGUUGCAGAGUUAAAAAAAUUAAUACAAUUUUGGUGGCCCGACUCCUGUUAAUUAAUCGUAGUAUAUUUGAAGUGUUUUCGGCAGGUUCUGGACCCGUUUUAGAGGACAUUCAUAAUUUAUAGGAGGUUUUGUCAAAUUUUUGACAGAAUUCUUGAGUCUAAAGUAAUUUUAGGGAGUCUAAUCUAGGGGUCUAGGCUUAGAGAAAAAUUUAAGAUUAUCUGUUAACUGAGUGUUUUCGUGAAUAGAAAAUCCAUCCUUCCCGCCAGCUCCACCCGAGGUGUAGGAGCAGACUGAGGAGCACGAUAGAACUAUGAGUUAAAGUCAUACAAUCACUGUACUAUUGGCAUGUCUGAAUUUAAUGCGAUGUUUUAGUGAUUUAUGUUUAAUAUGAUUUUCAGUAUCGCAUUAUGAAUAAUUUCAUUUAAUUAGUAAUUACCACAAAUAAUAUUAAUAUUAUUAUCUGAAAAAUUAUCUUGUUAUUUUUGAAAUCACAAUUAAUGUUAUUUUAAUACUAUUAUUAAUUCUAUACAUAAAUUGCAUGCUCACUUUAUCCGAGAUUCUAAAUCCUUAAUUUCAUUAUAUUGUUGAACAAUAAUGCUAGUUUAUAAUUAUUAUAUUUAUGUUACGAUUGUGACAAUAGGAUGAGACUAUAGUAGAACAUGCCACCUGAUGGGUUGCAUCAGGAUUGCAUGCGCACCGGUAAUAAUAAGGUACAGCUAACAAGGUUAUGUUUGGAUUUUGUUCCGGUCGAGUAUAACUCUCUAGGCUGUGAAAGUUUGACUGCCGAAGAAAGGGGCCUGGUUGAGUAAUGCUCUCUAGGCGCCGCCUUAGUUGGGAAUGAAGUGUCUAGACUGGAUGUAAGGAUCCUAGUUGAGCUUCACUCUCUGGGCACUAGACCUAUUGGAAUAAGAGAGCCGAAAGGCUACUACCGUUUUGGGUUAGGGUUCUGCUGAGCCACUCGUCCCAUAAGUCUUAAAAUAUAUAUUAUUUCUAAAUUAUGGUGUGACUCGUAUUUGAUAUGCAAUGGCAUGAUAUACUGAAUUAAUAAAUAUUAUUUAUUGAGGAGACUACAUUAGUUACAGGAUUAUUUGAUUUUAACUCACUCUCGAGACUAACAGUCGCAAUUUGAUUUUUCAGGUGACAGUUAGAAUUCUUCGCCAUCCUGCAUUUUGACAACCCGACUCCUUCCUUCAUCGGGCUUAUUGUAAAUAAUCUAUACUUUCAUAUUUUUAGUUAUUCUAUACUCUAGACCUUCUGCAGUAUAAUAUUUUUUAUUCUUAUGAUUUUCAGGUCCAUAAUGGAUGUCAAAUGUUAUCAGACCAGUUAGAUUUAUGUAUGGUAUGUCAGGCAUGAUUAAUAUUAUACUUUUAUAAGCAUGUUAUUGAGUUAUUAGUUAGUUAGGCUUACUACGGGAUUCGGUCGCCUUAAGCCUACCCAUUCCCUAGUACCAGUCACGGGCCCACAGAUCGGGUCAUGACAAAGUUAGUAUCAGAGCUUAGGUUUAGCUUUCCUUCGACCUAGGUUAGCUUCCUUAACUACUGCGAAAAUUAGGAAAUCGAGUCUUUCCUUACGUAUUUUGUUGAUUCUAGUAUCUGCGCUAUAUGUUAGAGAGUCUGUUGGGUUUAAUAGCUUAUUGUUUAUUUUUCAACCCUUGCCAUGCUGAGAACUCGAGCAACUGCAGCUGCAGCAUUAGUCUAAGAAGGCCAAGAUGAGUUUUCUGCUCAGACGGCCACUCCGGCCCCAGCCCGUGGUACCAGGAGGCGAGGUAGGCCUCGAGCAGCAGCCCAACCAGAUCAGGGCAAGACUCAGGAGGCGGAAAGUGCUGGUAGAAUCCCAGUGGAGGCAUUUGUAACCGGUAUGACUGGGAUGCAGAGGGCCUUAGAGCAGUUAUUGAUCUUCCAGUAGCAGUAGGCUGCUCAUGAUUCAGGAAGCCGUGCUAGUGGGUUCAGUAUUAGGAAUCCGGACGAUGUUCCCAUGUUUGAGUACACUAAAUUGAGAUUCAUGGAGUUUGAUAGGACAGUUGGGGACCCUCUGGACUUUCUAGACGAGGUUGAGAAAAGGGCAUCUGACUUGCACUGUUCUGACAGGAAGACCAUCGAGAUGGCCAGAUUUUCUUUGAAGGGGAUAGCAUCUCAGUGGUUCAGUGACUAUCUACCCCUUUUUGGAUGGGUUAUCGUGGAGACAGUUCAGAGACAGGUUCAAAGAGUAUUUUAUCCCUUUUAGCGUAAGACAGGAGUACAAAGAGAGAUUUGAAAGACUGAUUAUAGGAGACCUGUCAGUGGCUGAAUACACCAGACAGUUUGUACAGUUGAGUAGGUAUGCGCUCUAUGCUGUGCGGACCGAUGAGCAAAAGAACAACAAUUACAUUUCAGGACUCGGUCUAGAGUUUGUCUCCUUGGUUCAGUCUAGGAGGAGCAUCUUCCUAGAAGUGACUGACAUGGCCAGACAAAUGGAGAUGACCUUGCGAGAACUUGGCCAGGGGACUGACGAUGGUAGGAAAAAGAAGACCAGGAUUGAGAGUCAGUCUAGUGCGCAGCCAGUUGUGCCGUACUAGGCAAUAGAGGCUACACCAAAGGUUUCGACCAGCAAGCUGGGUAGAGAGGCUACCGUACCCAUCGGAAGGGUAGCAGAGGACUCAGACCUUAACAUGGCUUCAGUGGUAGUGGGCAGAGUUUAGGCUACAGGAGCUCUAGUUCUAGGGCUAGCACCUAUCAGAUGUGCGGCAGGUCACAUCAAGGACCGUGCCUAGCUUCCAAUAGAGCUUGUUUUAGGUGUGGCGAGAUGGGUCAUAUGGCUCGAGAGUGUCCUUGCUACUUCAGUCGGCCAGCUUUUCCACAGGGCUUGUCCGCCAGUGCGACCCGACCAGCUUUUCCUGUAGCUCUGGGGUAUUUUCAAGGUGGAUCUCAGUUUGUCGGCCAGUAGGGCUGUGGUUUUGGAGGUAGAUCUAUGGGAGGCCGAUCUGGGGGCAGAGUUCAAAGUCAAGCUUCAAGCUCCCAGCAGUCAGGUCGUGGGCAAGCGAGAGUGUUCACCCUCACUCCUCAAGAUGUGCGAGCCUCAAAUGUUAUGGUGUCAAGUACUAUUCCUGUCUGCUAUUCUAAAGCUAGAGUUUUAUUAGACCCUGGGGCUACCCAUUCUUUCGUGUUGCCUAGUUUUGCUUUAAGAUUGGAUGUGUCUUCAACUUUCGACGUCGGUCACUACGCCAUUAAGUGAUGCCUUAGAGACUGAUGUCGUGUUUCCAUCGUGUCUAGUGUCAGUUGAGGGUCAAGAUUUGGUUGCUAACUUAAUUCUAUUGGAUGUAAGGGAUUUUGAUGUGAUAUUAGGAAUGGAUUGGUUGGCUAUGCAUUUUUCCAUGUUGGACUACUGGGAGAAACAAGUAACUUUUCAAACCCCCGAAGACUCAAAGUUCUAUUUUAAAGGUGAGCAGAUACCUACUCCAUCGAAUCUCGUGUCAGCUAUUACAACUAGGCGGAUGCUUCGCUGUGGAUGUCAGGGAUAUCUAGCUCUAGUCAGAGAUACCUCAGUAGGAAAAGGUUGCGUUGAGGACAUUCAGGUGGUUUGCGAAUUUCCUAAUGUAUUUCCAGAAGAACUACCAGGAUUGCCGCCCAAUAGAGAGAUAGAAUUCAGCAUCGACGUGGUACCGGGUAUAGCACCUAUUUCCUUGCCGCCCUACUGAAUGGCACCAGCCGAGUUAAAGGAGUUAAAGGAGCAGUUGCAGGACCUCCUAGAUAAGGGUUUUAUUAGGCCCAGUACGUCGCCUUGGGGUGCUCCUGUUCUGUUCGUGAAGAAGGACGGUACUUUACGCCUCUGUAUUGAUUACCAGCAACUGAACAAAGCGACAAUUCGUAACCAAUAUCUGUUUCCUCGCAUCAAUGAUCUAUUUAAUCAGCUUCAAGGAGUCACAUGCUUCUCCAAGAUUGAUUGCGAUCGGGGUAUCACUAGUUGAGGAUCCGUGAGGAAGAUGUGCCGAAGAUGGCAUUCAAGAUGUGUUAUGGGCAUUAUGAGUUUCUAGUAAUGUUGUUUGGACUCACCAAUGCUCUUACGGCUUUCUAGAUCUGAUGAAUCGGGUGUUCAAGCAGUUUUUGGAUUGUUUUGUCACCGUAUUCAUUAAUGAUAUUUUGAUGUACUCUAGAAGCGAAGAGGAGCACGCGUGGCAUCUGAGGAUGGUACUUCAGACGUUAAGGGAGCAUUAGUUGUACGCUAAGUUCUCCAAGUGCAAGUUUUGGUUAGAAAGCAUUGCUUUUCUAGGACACAUUGUGUCUAGAGAAGGUAUUCCAAGAAAGUGGAGGCGGUGACUGACUGGCAGAGACCAACCAUGGUGACUGAGGUGCUUAGCUUUCUGGGAUUGGCAGGCCACUACUGUCGAUUCGUGUAGGACUUUUUGAGGAUAGCAGCACCUUUGACUAAGCUGACUCAGAAGAAUAUCAAGUUCUAGUGGACUGACGCGUGUGAAAGAAGCUUCCUAAAGCUGAAAGACUGUUUGACUUCAGCUCCGGUGUUGACCUUAUCCUUUGGGACUGGUAGAUUCACGAUGUAUUGUGAUGCUUCUAGAGUGGGUUUAGGUUCCAUCCUGAUGCAAAAUGGAAAGGUAGUAGCUUAUGCAUCCAGGCAAUUGAAGAAGCAUGAACAUAAUUACUCGACCCAUGAUUUGAGAUGGCAGCAGUAAUUUUUACUUUAAAGAUCUGGAGGCACUAUCUCUAUGGUAAGACAUGCGAGAUUUAUACGGAUCAUAAGAGCUUAAAGUAUAUUCUUCAACAGAAGGAAUUGAAUCUGAGGCAGAGAAGAUGGUUAGAGCUUCUGUAGGAUUAUGAUUGCAAUAUUCUUUACCAUCCAGAUAAAGCGUAUGUCGUGGCAGAUGCCUUAAGUAGGAAGUCGGUAGGUAGUCUUGCUCAUAUCAGUGUAGAAAAGAGACCCCUGACUAGAGAAUUGCACGAACUGUAUAACCAAGGGCUACAGAUGGAGGUAUUGAAAUCGGGAGCAUUGUUAGCACAUUUCAGGUUAAGGCUUGUACUUGUCGACAGAAUCAGGAUAGGUCAUAAUCGAGACCUACAGUUACGGAAAAUCUUGGAAAAAUGCAGUAGGGUCAAGCUAAUGAUUUAUUAUAGAUGAUGAUGGUACUCUCAAGUUAGGCACUAGGCUGUGUGUUCUCGAUGUGGAUAAUCUUAGAAAGGAGAUUUUAGAAGAGGCUCACUGUAUAACUUACAGUGUGCAUCCGGGCUCCACUAAGAUGUAUCAUGAUUUGAAAGAAAAUUAUUGGUGGAAUGGAAUGAAGAAGGAUGUGGCAGAGUUUGUCUCCAGGUGUCUGACGUGUCAGCAGGUUAAGUUGGAGUAUCAGAAGCUGUCAGGGUUAUUGCAACAGCUUCCUAUACUAGAGUGGAAAUAGAAAAGGAUUACUAAGGAUUUUGUAUCGAGUUUAUCCAAGACUUCUGCUGGUUAUGAUUCUAUCUGGGUAAUUGUGGACCGAUUGACUAAGUCAGUGCACUUCCUUCCGGUGAAGACUACUUAUUCUAUGGCUAAGUAUGCACGAGUGUAUCUGGAGAGGAUUGUCAGUCUUCAGGGUAUCCUGAUUUCCAUAGCGUCUGAUAGAGGACCGCCGUUCACUUCGAGAUUUUAGAAAAAGCUACAAGAAGAGCUUGGUACCAGAUUGGACUUCAGUACAACAUUUCACCCCUAAACGGAUGGACAGUCAAAAAGGACUAUCCAGACUUUAGAGGAUAUGCUUUGGAUGUGUGUGAUGGAUUUUGGUGGUCAGUGGGAUUGGUAUCUACCGUUGAUUGAGUUCGCGUAUAACAACAACUACCAGACGAGCAUCGAGAUGGCACCUUAUGAGGCCUUGUAUGGCUAGAACUGCAAAUCUUCUGUGUGUUGGGAAGAGGUUGGCGAACGGAAGUUAGCAGUACCAGAGUUGGUUCAUAUCACUUCAGAAAAGGUUUCUAUUAUUCGCGAGAGGCUAAAGAUAGCUUUCAAUAUGCAGAAAAGUUAUGCGGGUCCAAAGCGGAAGCACGUGGAGUUCAGUGUUGGGGAAUAUAUGUUCUUGAAGGUGUCUCCUAUGCGUGGUGUGAUGCGGUUUGGCAAGAAGGGCAAAUUGGCCCCUCGAUAUAUGGGACCCUUUGGGAUUAUUGAUAGAAUUGGAGAGGUGGCAUACAAGCUGGACUUGCCAUCAAAUAUCUCGCACGUGCAUCCGGUAUUCCACAUAUCAAUGUUAAGGAAAUACAUUUCAAAACCUUCGCAUGUGUUGCAGUCUCAAUAUGGGAAGUAAGUGAAGAUCUAACUUACGAGGAGCAGCCAGUCAUGAUCGUGGAUACUCAAGUUCGCCAACUACACUCUAAGGUUAUUCCGAUGGUUAAGGUGUUGUGGUGGAAUUAUUCCUCUGAAGAGUGUACCUAGGAGACCGAGCUGGAAAUGAGGAGUCUCUACCCUCAUUUGUUUCAAUCCCAAGGUAAGCCGUGUUUUCUUUAAAAUUUGAGGUCAAACUUUUUUUUAAGGGGGUAGAAUGUAAUACCCAGUUUCUUGUUUUAAAAAAAUAAUAAUAAUAAUUAAUUUAUUAUUAUUAUUAUUAUAAAAAAAAAACCUUUUCCUUCCUUUUUCUUUUUCCCCUCCCAUUUCCUUCUCUCUUCUUCCUCCCCCCCCCCCCCCCUCUCCCUCCUCACUUCCUUCCUCUUUCCUUCUCCCUCUCCCUGUCGACUUCAGCCAUCCCCCUCACCGCCUGCGGCGCCCAGUUUGCCGACGCUGUCCAGUAGCCCUCCUUAUCCUCCCUCCCUUCCGUCGAUGCUGACAAAGGAAGAAGAGGUUGCCAUCGUCGGUUUGGUCUCCUACCUGUGUCCUUUAGGCAAGCCAACGUCGGAAUCGGGCUCCCCACCCCCGAAAACCUCAGAAGUGACCCUCCUUGCCAUGAAAUCCCCCACCGGUAGCCUUGGAAAGCUUCACCGGAGCAGCACCUUUCUGGCACUGAUCCGGCUCCUUCUGGUCACUUUCCGGCCGGAAUUCUUAUGUUUUCGGACUCCCCGCAAGUCGAGCUUCGUGUAGGCACUUCCAGAUUUUUAUUACGACACUAUUGGUAGGACCGGCUUUCGGACCCCAGUGUUUUCUGAACGCGCGAAAUAUUGCAAUUUUGACUCGGUACAAUUUUAUUUAGACCCUAGAAAUUAGGUUGUAAUUUUAGAAAAAUAUUGUGGCUAUUAAUUACGAGUGAUGGAUAAAUUAAAAAUUAUUUAGAUUUAAUUAUUUGUGAUUGUGAUAUGUUGCGGAGUCGGAAAAAUUAAUGCAGUUUUGGAGGUCCGACUCCCAUUAUAAUCAUAGUAUAUUUGAAGUGUUUUUGGCAGGUUCUAGAUCCGUUUUAUAGGGGGUAAACGUCCGUAAUUUAGAAGAGGUUCUGCCAAAUUUUCGACAGAAUUCUCGAGUCUAAAGUAAUUUUAGGCAGUCUAAUCUAGGGGUCUAGGCCUAGGGAAAAAUUUAAGAUUGUCUAUUAACUGAGUAUUUUCAUGAAUAGAUAAUCCAUCAUUCCCGCUAGCUCCACUCGAGGUGUAGGAGCGAACUGAGGAGCGCGACAGAACUGUGAAUUAAAGUCAUAUAAUCACUGCACUAUUGGCAUAUGUCUGAAUUUAAUGUGAUAUUUUAGUGAUUUAUGUUUAAUGUGAUUUUAUAUCGUAUUAUGAAUAAUUUCAUUUAAUUAGCGAUUACCACCAAUAAUAUUAAUAUUAUUAUCUGAAAAAUUAUCUCAUUAUUUUCAAAUCACAAUUAAUGUUAUUUUAAUACUAUUAUUAAUUCUAUACAUAAAUUGCAUGCUCGCUUUAUCCGAGAUUCUAGAUCCUUAAUUUUAGUAUGUUGUUGAAUAAUAAUGUUAGUUUAUGAUUAUUAUAUUUAUGUUACGAUUGUGACAAUGGGAUGAGGUUAUAGUAGAACAUGCCACGUGAUGGGUUACAUCAGGACCGUAUGCGCACCGGUAAUAAUCAGGUACAAGUAACAAGGUUAUGUUUGGAUUUUGUCUUGGUCGAGUAUAACUCUCUAGGCUCUGAAAGUUUGACUGCUGGAGAAAGGACCCUGGUCGAGCAAUGCUCUCUGAGCCCCGGCUUAGUUGGGAAUGAAGUGUCUAAGCUGGAAGUAAGGACCCUGGUUGAGCUUCACUCUCUGGGCGCCAGACCUAUUGAAAUAAGAGAGCCGAAAGACAACUAGCAUUUUGGGUUACGGUUUUGUUGAGCCACUCAUCCCAUAAGUCUUAAAAUGUAUAUUAUUUAUAAAUUAUAGUGUGACUCAUAUUUGAUAUGCAACGGCAUGAUAUACUGAAUUAAUAAAGAUUAUUUAUUGAAGAGACUGCAUUAGUUACAGGAUUAUUUGAUUUUAAUUCAAUCUCGAGACUGACAGUCUCAAUUUUAUUUUUCAGGUGACAAUUAGAGUUCUUCGCCAUCCUGCAUUUUGACAGCCCGACUCCUUCCUUCAUCGGACUUAUUAUAAAUAAUCUAUAUUUUCAUAUUUUUAGUUAUUUCAUACUCUAGAACUUCCGCAGUAGAAUAUUUUUUAUUGUUAUAAUUUUCUAGUCCAUAAUGGACGUCAAAUAUUAUCAAACCAGUUAGAUUUAUCUAUGGUAUGUCAAGCAUGAUUAAUGUUAUAUUCUUAUAAGCAUGUUAUUGAGUUAUCGAUUCGUAAGGCUUACUACAGGAUUCGGUAGCCUUAAGCCUACCCAAUCCCUAGUG